UUUUUUUUUUUUUUUUUUGUUUGAGUGUGUUGAUUGUAGUUACUUAUGAGCUAUACAAUUCAGUGAUUGUAGUUUUCCUAAUUUUCUUAAAAGUUCAUAGAUAUUUUGAAUUGUAUUGCUUUCCAUUCAUGCUGCUGUUAAGUUUGAACUCUAUAUAUGAACUGUUUCUGGGUUCACUUUUUUUUCCUGUAUGUUGUUUUGGUUUAGUAAAGUAUCUGUUUUUAAUUAAUGUUCAGCUGUAAAUAUAUUUUCAUUUUUUUAAAUAUAGGAACAUUCUGUGAAAGCUUUGAUUUUGGUUCACCAUUUGAGUGAAUGUUUCUGGGUAUUUCAGUUAUUUGCUGUGAUGUGCAGGUAUUUUGAUUUUGAUUUCCUGUUUGGGUGUGUGACCGUUUCAAUCUUGUGCGUGUUAUAUGCAAUUCUGAAGUGGAUAACUUGUGAUUCUUAGAUUUUCUCUAGUUGCUUUUGUGAAAAUCUUGGUGUAAUGUGGGGGCAUUGUGGAGUAUUUGUGUUGACUGUUAACUAGUGUAGUAGCUAUUACCUGUCAGUGCUCUUUUGGCAUUUCAUUCUGUGCGUUUACUUAUUUCUGCUUCUUUUAACUUGUGGUAUUGUCUUGGUACUGCAGUGAAAUAUUUCUGCUUCUGGUUUGAGUAUAAGUUACCGGGUUCUUGCUAGUACAUGCAUGAAGCAGUUUCUUUAAGAAAGUUUUGGUUCUUGCUAUGGGGAUAGAUCUUGAACAGCCUUCGGGAGAAUUCCACCAGGCAGAUAAUGGACCUGGUGGGAAUAGUCAUAUGGUAGAUGGCAGAGAGGAAAAUACUUCUGGAGAUAGAGUGAUUGUAAGUGUAACUAACGUUCCUGUAAAUGAUAGGGAGAUUGCUGGAAAAAAUGGAAGUGUGUCAAAUUUCAAAAACAGGGUAGAUGCCAGAGAUGAAAUCAACUUGAAUGCUCCGAAAAAUAUAGAGCUUCAUGACGGACUGGAGUUUGAAUCAAAGGAAGAAGCUUUUUCCUUCUAUAAAGAAUAUGCCAAGUCUAUGGGGUUCGCUGCAGUAAUUAAGGCUAGCCGCCGGUCCAGAGCAUCUGGAAAAUUCAUUGAUGCAAAAUUUGCAUGCAGUAGAUAUGGGACCAAACCGGAAACUAGUCAACCUGAAACUGCAGAACCUGUUUCACAUUCCAGAGAGUCAAGUAUCUGCCUUAAGAGAAAACGAGGAGGUCGUGCUAGCCAAUCUUUGGAAAAAACGGAUUGUAAAGCCUGCAUGCAUGUUAAGAGAAGGCAAGAUGGUAGAUGGACUGUUUGUACUCUCAUUAAAGAGCACAAUCAUGACAUUUUUCCUGAUGAAGCCUAUUAUUUUCGAGGGCACAGGAAGUUAGAUAUAAGUAGCGGUAAUGUUGGUGGUAAUGUCGGGGGUAAUGUUGAUGGCUUAAAUGCUAUCCGGAGAAGAACAAAGAAUCUGUUUGCCAAUAUGUCCAGACAGUCUGGGGGCUACAAGAAGUCCACUAAUCCAAAGGGUGGUGGGAAAAAUCAAUCACCAAGUGUACAUCAUUUGUCUCUAGAGGAAGGAGAUGCUCAAGUCAUGCUUGACCACUUUCUAUGUAUGCAAGAUGAGAAUCCUAACUUCUUUUAUGCAAUUGAUCUGAAUGAAGAGCAGCGAUUGAGAAAUGUUUUCUGGGUUGAUGCCAAAGGUAGACUUGAUUAUGAAAUUUUUAGUGAUGUAGUAUUUCUUGAUACCACAUAUAUCAAGAAUGAAUAUAAAUUGCCAUUUGCUCCCUUUAUUGGUGUGAACCACCAUCUUCAGUUCAUUUCGCUUGGAUGUGCUUUACUUGCUGAUGAGAGUAAAUCAACCUAUGUCUGGCUUAUGCGGGCAUGGUUAAAAGCAAUGGGCGGACAUGCUCCAAGAGUGAUACUCACUGACCAGGACAAGUUCUUGAAAGAAGCUGUCGCAGAGGUCUUUCCUGAUUCUCGUCAUUGUUUUUGUUUGUGGCACAUAUUGGGUAAGAUGCCUGAGAAGCUUGGAUAUGUUACAAGGCAGCACGAUCAAUUUAUGGAGAAUUUUAACGAAUGCAUUUUCAAGUCUUGGACAAUUGAACAGGUUGAAAUAAGAUGGUUCAAAAUGGUUGACAGAUUCAAUUUAAGAAAUGACAUAUGGUUGCAGUCAUUGUUUGAAGAUCGUAGACAAUGGAUACCAGCAUUCAUGAGAGGCAUUUUCUUGGCAGGGAUGUCUACAACCCAGCAAUCAGAAAGUUUAAACUGUUUCUUUGACAAAUACAUGCAGAGGAAAACGACAUUGAAAGAGUUUCUUGAACAAUACAAUACAAUCCUCUGUGAGAAGUAUGAAGAGGAAGCAAAGGCAGAUUUUGAAACAUGGCAUAAACAACCUGCAUUGAAAUCUCCAUCACCUUUUGGGAAACAAAUGGCUACCUUGUAUACUCAUGUAGUAUUCAAGAAAUUCCAAGUUGAGGUUUUGGGAGUAGUUGCUUGUCAUCCAAAGAAAGAAGCUGAAGAUGGAGCAAUCAAAACUUUUAGAGUUCAAGAUUUUGAAGAGGAUCACCAUUUCAUUGUGGAGUGGAAUGAACUGACGUCAGAUAUAUCCUGUUUAUGCCAUUCAUUUGAAUUCAAUGGUUUCCUUUGUAGACAUGUGAUGAUUGUACUGCAAAUAUCUGGUGUACACAAUAUUCCAUCUCAGUAUAUAUUGAAACGUUGGACAAAAGAUGCAAAGAGCAGGCAGACAAGGGGUGUGGGAUCGAGUUCGUUUAAGUCUAGAGUUCAACUUUACAAUGAUCUAUGCAGACGAGCCUUUGAAUUGGGUGAUGAAGGUUCUUUAUCGCAGGAAAGUUAUAAUAUUGCAUUUGUGGCAUUAGAAGAAGCUUUGAGAAAUUGUGAGAAUAUGAAUAACUCAAUUCAGAGGGUAAUACAUCCAGUGUCUCCAGAGACUCAUGGUUCUCAUAGCUUUGAAGGAGUGAACCAAGGUAACAGCACUAACAAGAUGAAUAAAAAGAAUAGUACAUCUAAGAAAGGACAGGUUAGUUGAGUUUUCUGGUGGUUACUAUGUUUACAAUCCUGGUUCUUUUAUGAUUUCUCUGAAUGGUAACUCAGUUAAAAUGUCCCCUGAAUUCUUUUAGGUACAUUCUGAGCCAGAGGUCCUAACCAUUGAGAUGCAAGAGAGCUGGCAAGGACUGGUUAGUUAUGUUAUGUUUAUAUUUACACCUACGAGUUUUAAACACCUACCACAAUGUCAUACGUACUAUGAAAAAUGUGUUUCUUGAUAUGGGUUCCAGACUUGGGGCACUCAAGUUGAAGAACACCAGCCCUUGAUUUGUUUUUAUGAAUGACAAGAGAGCAUGCAGGAGAUGGUAUGUCAUAGUUUACUGACAACCAAACUGUUCUGGAAAGGAUAAAGCUGUUUCUUAUUGACAAAGUUUUUCAUUCAGAAUUCACGAUUUCCUGAAAGUCUUGAGCUAAGUACUUCUAUCUUUAUCAUAGGAACAAUUGAGCUCGAGUGCUACCACCCUAGAUGGUUAUAUUGGCCCACAACAACUAGUUCAAGGAAUGGUAAGAGAUCAUUUCAUGACAAAACUGAAAUUUGGAAUUUCUUUUAAGGACCAGUAUAACAAAAUUUGUCUUGUGCUUACGGAAAAAUAAUGACUUGUAUUCCUUGGAUCUUCUUGUAGGGGCCAUUAAACACAAUUUCCUCAAGGCGUGAAAAUUAUUAUAGCAAUCAGCAUAUGCAGGGGCUGGUAAUGCAUAUGAAAUAUCUGACCUGUGUGUGGAUGUGUUGCUAAACACAACUUUCUGAUUGUUGACUGAAACAAAAAGAAACUUCUUAAUGAGGUUCUCUUUUCCGUCGCAGGGGCAAUUGAACUCAAUCACACACAUCCAGGAUGCUCAAUACAUAAAUCAGCAAAGACUGCAUGGAGUGGUACAACACUCUUGUUUCUGUAUCAGAUUUUGUAGAUUUGUUCUUAUCAGGUCUUAUCAUAGACGGGAAGCAGGGAUUGCUUUGGAGGGUCAAUAUCAUCUGUUACCGACUUACUGUCAGUCGUGUUGUUUGCAUGUGUCUAGUAAUGACAGCAUAUUGCUUGCUUGCAGGGGCAGUUCCAUUUCAGACCACAAACUAUCCCGAAUUUUGUAAUUGCAGAUGAUCCGCAAGAUGUGGUACACUAAUCCUUACCUAAGUUAUAAACUUUUGUCUUUGUAUGAUUAUUUAUAUGGUCUUUCACUCAUGUUCCAGGAUCAUUCCACUGUGGGACGCACUCAGAUUCAUGGCUUGGCGUCAAAGCAUUUGCAGUCGAAACAUCCAUCUUGUCAGUAGCAAUAGAUAGGUACAGUGAGUCAUUACGGGCUUCUUUAAAACCAAUCUUGAUUCCAUCAUAGGCCACAAUUUGAUCAUGUAUGAUCCAUCACUUCAUCGUAUGUGGCAAAGAACUGGCAAUAUUACUGGCAUUUUUUACUGCUUAAUGAAACAAACAGGUUUUUCCAGCAGGUGGGGAGAAAAUAAUUUAUUGAACUGCAACAAUCAAUUUGAAGAAAUCCACAUAGGGAGAGAACGGGACCCUGGUCGUACAAUCUGUCAUCUUGGUCCGUAUGUAGUACAUAUUGGAAAGCCUCUGAAGCUGAAGGAAAUGAUCCAUUUACCUUUUAGUUGUAGCUGUGUUGUAUGUUAUCAUUGUGUCUGUCCAUGUACAAUUUUAGAUGUAAUCCAAAAUCCAAUUUCUAUAGCUGUAAUCCAAAAACUGAAAUUAUAUAAUCAAUAAAGUUUAUAAUCAUGUCCAAUCCUAAUAUCAAGUUUUUAACUAUCUUGCACUAGUACGUAACUAACACUGGUAUGGCGGUACAACCCUUUUUGGAAGAAAAUCUGGCAAUUCUUGGCUAUAGAAGUGCAACAAUCUCAAAAUUUAUAACUCAACUGCAUAGCCCUCCUUAACAACAGGGUUGAUUGACUAGCAGUCCUUCAAGAUUAUAAGCAUAAUAAGAUUAAUAAUGUCUAUAUUAAAUAGAUAUUAAAAAGAAAAACAUCACCCCCUUCAAAAUCUAAACGAGGGGAUAAGAAUCAUGGAAAGAAUUCAUCCAUUUGCGAAUCUAGAAACAAAAUCGCAGCUUUAUCAGAACAGCUCAGAUAUCAGUACAAUAGGAAAUCAAUCUUGAGCAACUUUCUCAACUUCAAACAAUUGGAGAACACCUGAGAUGUGUUUCAUUUGGAUUGAUAAAAUUCCAGAAAGCUGGUGGCCUGGUGUUUCCCAAGAAACGUUAAUUAAUCUCACAAAGUUCUCGUAGAGGAUUACAAAUGGAUCAAGUAUUUUAUAUCACUCAAGAACAACUUUCGCUCCAAGAGCUUUCAACUUCUCUACGAGUUGCUCUCCUUCCUCCUUUGACACGCCUGCCUUUAACACCGAUGGUGCCUUCUCCACUAAAUCCUUUGCUUCCUUGAGGCCUAAAUCAGUGAAGCUCCUUACCUCCUUGAUCAGUUUUAUUUUCGAAGCUGCCUCAAAGGACUCCAACUUCAAUUCAAAUACAGUCUUUUCUACUUUCUUCUCCUCCUUAGCUGCUGCUGGUCCUUUCAUUGCCAAUCCUAUUGCAGCAGCUCCUGGCUUCAUGACUCCCACAGUAGGUGGCAUCUUCAUUCCCUUUUUCUUCAUGAUAAUCAAACCUAGUUCAGCAACUUCAGCCAGUGUGAGAGAUGAUAUUUCAUCUACGAGCCUAAAUACACGCUCCGUGGGAGGACUACAAUGCUCUGUAGGAUCAAACGUUGCUGGAUCAUAAUCAGCCGGGAGUCUCCUCUGAUCAUACUCCACUUCUUCCUCCUCCUCUUCUUUCCUUGCAGGCUGACUAAAGCUCUGAUAAAACCCAUUUAAACCACCCGGAUUCAGUGUUCCGAGUGCAGAGAUAAAGGGUCUUCUGCAAAGCCCAUUAGGCAAAUGAUUCCUUAGUCUCAAGAUCAAGCUCAUUUCUGCAGGUUUCCACAAGACUUCUGUUCUCUAACAAAUAAGAAAUCAACAAUCCAUUUCACCAGUCGCUUCAACAAUUAUCCAGAGCAAACCUGUCAGAUUCAAUCUGAUAAGGUCCACACGUACGCCUCAAAUCCGAAGUACUCUAAGUUGAACACAAGUUCUAACAAAAAAUCGUAAAUAAAUGAACUAACACAAACAAAAAAAGAACUACAACUACCACUCCUCAACUUUCACCUUCAUUUCCUAAGGAACUAAAUUUGUAAACUCAAACAUGGUAAACUGUCUACAUUGGGAUUCUCUUCAAAAUAUCCAAAUCAAAAUCAAAUACAAGGGCAAUUUGACUCCUGAAAUCCCAUCAUUUUGGGUUUUUCUUCGAUACCCUUAAUCAAAAGAUUGAAACUUUUUCUUCAACUAAGCUUCUGCAUCAAUAAAGCAAUAAACUUUCGAAGUUUGGGUUAAAAAUCUCUGAUCCCAUUAUCCCAGAUCGCCAAAAACUUAAUUUGGCAUAGCCACUUCGUCAAUUCUAAGCCAAAAAACCCACCAUUUCUGAUUCACCAGUCCAAAUCAAGCAUUGUAAAUUGCAUAUAUACAACCUACAGAUACAUAUUAUAUAAAAGAGAAGGAAGCGAGUACCUUAGAGAAAGCUGAGUACGUGUCAAAGCUAGUGAGAGGUGAGAUGGGGCAGAACCCUAGAAAUCGACCAGACUGCGAGUGAGGGUUUUAGCUUUGUUUUAUUUUUCUGUACCGGGUCUAAAAUAUAUAUCGGGUUUUAACUCGACCCGGCCCAAGUUGGAGGACACGUGGCUGUAGCUGUAUAAACUUGUUUUGGGAAGAGAGGGGUGGAGAGUGGUGGAGAGAUGGAAAAACAGGGAAGGUUGGUGGUUGAAAAAGUGGGAGGAAGGUCAACUGUGACAAGGAGCUUCUCAAAGUACCCUCUCAAAUUCAUUAUACCCAGAAAGGUCUCAGCUUUAUUACUCACUUUUCCUGUAGUACUGUAGUAGCUAAACUUGAUAUAUGUAUUUUGGUACCCUCUUGUAAAGAUAGGUAUAUCAUCAUUAACUUGGUAUAGGAUGAUCUAAGAUAGGUUUCAUUAGUAAUAUGGAGUUGGCUUAUUUGGGUAGGUGUAAUUUGAUCACAGUAAUAUGAACUGAACCUUUUGGAUGUUGACUAUGAUGAUUGUUCAGGUGGGUUCUUCUAAAGCUGAUGCUGUUUGGGUUUACACCCUCACCUAUGGUGGUGGCAUUGUCACUGUAUGCAACUAUCCACUGCCUCUCUUUUCUGGGUUGUAUUGUUAUGCAGUAAUCUUAAGUAGUUUAUUUAUGAAUUCUUUUGUUGUUGUAUUUAGGGGGAUUCUAUUUCUUGUGAAUUCACCAUUGGAGAUGGUUGCACCACUGUCAUAACAACCCAAGCUUCCACCAAGGUUAUUUGUUUAUAUAAGAAAUAUCUUUGUGUUGGAUUUGAUAUGAUUGGUCGACUAGUCUCAUUUCCUUUGUUCUGUCGGAUGAAUGGGGUUUUGAAUAUUUACUUCAUAGAACUGUAUUGAAUCUGGAGUUCUCAAAUAGGUUUAUGUUGUUGCGUAGGUAUACAAGUCUCUGGGAGCCAAGUGCUCUGAACAAGUCAUGGAGGUAACCAAUCUGGCCUAAACCAACAUAUGAAAGCAACCAAAUCAACUCUUGAUUGGGGGUUUAUUAAUAUAAAGUUAAACAGAUCAUGUUAUGUUUUGGUCUUUUGGAUUAGUAGUGCUAAUUGCAUGAAUCAUGGAAAUCAAAACGUUGAUUGAAUUUGAAAGUUCCAAUUGAUUUCAAGUGACAGCAGCUUUUUUUUUUUUCCAUGCAGUAGGCAAGAGUUGGGAGCAAUGCUCUUUUGGCUGUAAUUCCAGAUCCUGUGACAUGUUUUUCCACAGCAAGAUACUCCCAGAAACAAAUCUUUAGGGUUGCCUCUGACUCAAGUUUGGUCCUUGUUGAUUGGAUUACCAGUGGGCGUCAUGAAAGUGGAGAAAAAUGGGAUUUUGAUCUUUAUAAGAGUGCAAACCACAUCUUUAUAGGAGAUGAGCCUUUGUUUCUCGACAUGGUAAUCUUUUUCUUGUAAUUAGUUAUUCAUUUGUUGCAUUUAAAAGAGGCUACUAGUUAGUUCUUACAUAUAACUCCUGAAUAUGUCAAUCAACAUUCCAUAAUGCUUGCCAUUUCAUUUGACUCAUCCCUAUCCCUUUCUUUGUCUUUUCAAGUACACAAGUGGUCAGACUCCUUAUUUCUUUUAUCUGAAUAAUGUUUCCUAUUCAUGCUUGCACAAAUUUUUAUGGAUAUCAGCUUGGAUGUAGAACUUUUGCUUUCUUCCUUUCCUCUUCACAGCUAGUUCAAUGUUUCUACGACAGGUGCACCUGGAGAAUGGAAGUAUUUCUUCAAUUGCAGAACGCAUGCAGGAUUAUCAAGUCAAUGCUAUGGUUGUCCUGUUGGGGUUAGUAGCUUCAGUAUGUAUAUAUACACUAUGAACCCACUUUGCCAUCAUUCUAAUUCUAUGUACUGUUUUAGAGAUGGAUGAAACUCAUGAAAGUUAUUAAUAGAUCCAAAUGGUACACCUUUUGGUUGCUUUAUUAUAGGCCAAAGAUCAAGCACAUUAAAGACUUAGUUCAAGAGAAUGUGAAAAGGAUGAUGGCUGAGCAAUUACACAAUCAUUCCACUGCUUCAGGUCGCCAACAGAAAAUAAAUUCUGAUUAUCGCCUCACCAAACCAAGCUUUAUUGCUUCUUCAAGUAUUUUUGGCCCUAAGGUAUAGAUAAUAAUGCUGCAAUGAGUAAUGGCUUGCCAUAUUUUCCUAAUAAGAUUGGCAGGGCCUCUUAUUUAAGUAAUUUGCUUUGCUAGUAGUGAAAUUAUCAUUAAAUCAUCAAGGUCUGACUAUCAAAUCCAGUAACGACCUCAAUAGCAUAGGCAAUCACUGAAUAUUCAAAAAGAUCUUAAUGCAAUUUCUGUUGUCUGGUUCUGUUAACCUUGUCUGUUUUGUUUGAAGAUCCAGUUGCAUGUUUCUUUUCAGUUAGUGUAGUAUUGACAGGCAUCUGAUCUAAUGCAAAUCAUAUGUGAUGUGUACAGGGAAUAGGGGUUGUUGUUCGUAUAGCUGCCACAACAACCGAAUCAGUUUACAAGUUCCUGCAGCAUCAAUUGGCCGGCAUGGAGCCACUGCUUGGUGUAUCACCAUAUCACUAAACCUGCAUAUGCAGAAUGUUUUGUCUCGUGAAAGGAAUCCCAUAGGCUGUGAUUUUGUUGUGACCAUGAACUGAUUCUAUGACCCUUAAACUAGUUUUUUUUUUAUAUUUGGCUCUUUCACUUGUUUCCCCCACCUACGAUCAACCUUACUAUCACCAGAAAAUUGCUUAGCUGCAUGGAAGUUGGAAAUCUAAUUAUUUCAUAGCAAAUGUUCUGUGAUAUGCCUGUAUUAUCCGGAAACGGAUGUGACUGUGAUCUGAGUAGGAAGUACACAAGGAAAAAUAAUGUUCUGUAGUGAAUUGCACUUGAUGUAAUUAGAUAAAUGAGUAGCUGAAUUCUUUUGGUCAGCUGAGUUCAUCUGUGGUAAAAUUUCACCAUUUAAUACAGUUGAUAUGAUCCAGAAAACUUCCAACUUGUCUCAGAAGAAAUUUAUAGUGUGAACCGUUCUAUAAUGACUACGACCUGGCAUGAAGGACAUGGCAACCAAAUAAUAAAAUGCAAAACAUAUAUUGAUAACAAGAACCAACACCAAAACAUCCCAAGACUGUCAUUUUAUACAACACAAAUACCCCCUAAUCUAUCUCAACACAUCAAAGAGAUAGACGGACCUAACUCACCCACUCUAAGACGUUUCAUGUAAACAAAGGAGCCGCACAAAUUAAGAACAAAACAAUCUUUGUAACUCUUAGAAUGUAAUCUCACAAGGGGCAUGGAACGUUCUUCCACGGCAAAUAGCUUCUAGGUUUUCUCCGGCAUAAGAACAAAGAGGUGACACCUCCACACCUGGUUUCAAGAUCGAUUGUGUCAAAAUACUAACAAUUGCACCAUGGCCGGAGAAAAAAUGAAAAUGCUAUAUGUUCAAAAGCAAUAAUGAAUAAAAUUACCAGUUGCGUAUAAAGGCACCGAAUGUGUUAAGAAUCCACCAGCAGCAACUACCCAACGAGUGUGAAGUCGAAGAACAAGAAGCCUAGCACUGUCUGGAGUGUCAAAAUUUGACCCGUUUGCAUUUUUUACUGGUGCAAACUCUUCUUCACGCAACACCUGAAAUUUUGCAAACAAAGGCAGCUCUUAGUAAGACAGUUGACUAAAGUGUACUUGGGUAACUUAAGAGUACUUGGGCUUUGAGUUACAAAGAGGGUGAAAUUGAAUCACCUCAUAAAGUGCAGUUGAUGGUGCAUAUGGAAACGCAUCAAAAAUAAACUGCUCUAGUUUUAAUCCCACUGUCUGUCCAUGGAUAGAAGGAAUCUUCUUCUCGGCAAGAUGGUAACUGCAUUCAGAAGAACAUGUUUACAAAAGCAUCCUUAUAAUAGCUAAGACUAUGAAUGAGGAACUCAAAAUGCAGGGUGGCAAUGAUGUAGAGACCAAAAAAACAAAGUCAUUUGAUAUCUGCUACUUCGCAUUAAUAUUUCUUUAGUGCAUAACCCCAAAGGCUAAUGAAUGCCCCAGACAAAUGGCUUUUAAAAGCUAGCUGAGGAUCCCUCUCCUUCUAUUACUUAGCGAACAUGGAACCUCAACAUACAAAGUACAGAGUAAUAACAAUUUGACAAUAACAACAGCAACAAGUUGACGUCACCUUUGUCAUUUCUAACACUCUAGAUAUGAUAAAAUGUUGGUUUGAAAAUUUUUUUGUUUUGUAGGAGAAAUUAAAAAGAUGAUAGUGCUUAGACAAGAAAGCUAACAAUCUACGGCUUUGUUGCGCAGAUAUGAUACAAGGUACAUAUAUACAAUGAUAGACAAAGUAUUUUGUAAAGAUCAGACAUAAAGAAAUAGAAGAAAUACAUACACAGUUGAAUUCAUUUCUUCAUUCCUUUUGUUAUUGAUGUUUGUUUUAUUUAUAACAUGAACCCUUGACAUUUAAAAAUAAAACUCUGAUCUUCCUUUAUAUCAAAACAGUACUAGAUGUUUUUAUACUUCCCUUACACUGUGGAUUAAGAAGCGACACAAAACCGAGAGAGAGAGAGAGAGAGAGAGAGAGAUACUAACAUGCUAUCUUUCUCAAGGCCAUUCGCUACUUGGUUUAGAAAAUCGAGAGUGAACAUGUGCAAGCACACCUGGAAAAACAUGUGACAAAGAGUUGCUGACACAUCAAUCAAAAAGUACACAACUAUCAUUGUGGAAUUGAAAAUCUUAAGGAACAUGCCAAGUCAAAAUGAACAACAGAAACAGCGGUAUUCAUGCAGCUAAACAUUAAUUCACUAAAGGGUAAUGAAAGGCAUUACAUUACUCCAACAGAAACGAAGACGUCCCGUUUGUUGAUUGAUUGCAGAAGUCAGAGACGGAUCCAUCUCACUGUAUUCCACCACAGUAAGGGGUCCACCUUUUCCUCGUCGUACAAACACACCAACCUUUUCUUGGGGAUAAGCCUGUCAUAAAAAAAUCCAAGUAACUCGAUACAUAAUACAUCUAAAAUCCAAUACGUGUGCAACAGUACAAAUUUUAGAACUCAUAUGUGUAUCAACCAUUUGUAGUCGUAAAUGGAUAUAUGCUGAGAUGGAUAUGGGGCCAAAAGUAUACUUAGGGAAUAUCUCCAUUAUUUCUGAAUUUAUUAAGAUAUCCAUAUAAGUAAAAAAUGUUUUUUUAUUGAUGGUUCACAGGAUAUACCCAGACUAGUGGGUAUGAGCCAACAAAAAAUAUACUGAUAAAGCCUUAAGAAUUCCAUAUUAGUGUGUGCAAUAAUAAACAGAUGGGGAAGAGAAAAUACAACACUAAAAAUUCUUAUAAGGAAAAUUUUGAUUCAAAUGGAUUGAACAAGGAAGUGGAAGCUUUAAUGCAAUCCACUUCAAUUGCUUUCUCAAACUCUAAAAUGCUAUAAAAUUUCAUGAAGGAUACUAGUUACCUUACGAACAACUUUUGCAGCGGAUGCAACACCUUUAUCAAUGAAAUAGCCCAAGAAAGUUGGAUCAGCUACACGAACCUGCUUUCAAGAACCUCAUAAAUAUACUUUUAAUAUAUGAAAGAACUUUCAAGUCUUCAAUAAAUGAAAGCAUUCCACUCCCCCUUGGUCAAAUUGUUAAAAGCAAAGAGUGUAUUAUCUCUUUCAAUUUAGUGCAUAUAAAACAAAAUUAUUCGUUUUGUUUACCCACCCUUAGUGUGAAUCAUGAAUGUGCAGGUGAAAUUUACCAUGGGACAGAGAAGAGAAAACGAAUGUGGAAGAGAAAGUAUUUCUUAUCCGAAGGGUUCUUUUAUUUUGUCCAGAAAGCCCACUUUAUGCAGAAAGGAAGAAAGCUCACCAGUGCAUUGUCAACUCCAUAGCAAUCCACAUAUUUAAUUCCUCUUGUAGCCAUAUCUUCUAAUAACCUCGAAGACUUUAAAGCUGAUCAACACAGGGCUCCAAUUAACUAAUGAAUAUUUAUCCGCAGUAAAACAAAAUAUAAGAAAUUAAUCUCAUACAUGUUCAACUAAAUAUUAUAGAAAAGUACCUGAAUAUACUCCUCCAUUCCCAUCUGGAGCCUUAGCUACCUGGCUUAAUAAGUAAAUUGAUGUUAAUCACAUCUUUUUUUUGGAGUGAGAGAUCAUAAUCUCAAUGGGCAAAACUAAAAAGAGUAUGAUAUAAUAUAGUCUAUACAAGAAAAUGUGGAAGGUGAAAACAAGAGAGGAAUUGAAGUAUUGUGAUAAUUGUCAAUAAAAGUUAGUGAAGUUGUAUACAGGAAAUGCCACUUGACAGAUCCCUGGGCAUAAAUUCGCUCCAACAUCUAAGAGCCGCAGAGUAAUUCUAUCAUACUUCCAGGGGAUGACCACCAAAAGGAAAACAAUGGGAUUCAGAAUUAAGUGAGCUUAUGAAGGAGUUCCAAAAUGAAUCUGAAGAACCACUUUACCAAACCCUACCUAAGAUGCUUUUUUCAUAAGUUGUAGUUUGAGAACUAGAGUGUUCAAGUGGCAAUUAUUCAAUUUUUAAUCCAUAUCUAAGUUAGCAAUCUACUUAUAAUCUAUAAACACUGAGCAUAAAGAGUUCCAGUACAAAUAAAAAUCAUACUCUGUAAGGAGAUUCCAUGAUAUAUCUACCAUCCCCUGAAACACAAGGUAUGGUGCCUUGCUGAAAAAAGGUAACCUGCAUCAAGAAGUGUGACCUCAAAAGGUAAGCAAAACCCCUUUACCUUCAGAAGAUGAAAAAUGACAGAAGAACAAAAGAACUAUUGGCAAGAGUAAAGGAAACAGGCUCUGAAAUCUUCUUACCUGAUCAGCUUCAAGACCAAAGUACUUAUGACUUUCAAAAAAUCUUCUUGUGGCUUCAUCAGUAAAGGGACUGGUCAUAAUAUACCAAUGUAUUUGCGGUGGUGUGGUAGAACCUGAAUAAUAUAGUAAUUAGUACCUUAUAUUACUCAACAGUUUGCAAUGAAUGACAAAAGUCUAACUCAGCUGUUAGUAGCCUUAUCGUUUAAAAGACCUGGCUCAAAUUUUAGCUUCACCAAGACGAAGGAUUUUGUGGCACUGUUUAUGGACUGAAAAGAUAGGUAAAGAAAAGAGAUAAACCCUACCAUCAUUUGUAGACUGAGCAGCUAGUCUCUGAACACAUAAAAUCCGCUCAGCUUGAAGUUGAAAGAGUGACUUUCCAGAUGGAAGCCCAAUAUCUAACAAUCAAGCACAAAAAGAAAUAUAAGAUAAUCAUUUCACAUAAAAUUCAGUAGAAAAGUAUGAUGGUCUGAACCACGUGGGGAAGGAAAAGAAGUACUACUCACUGAAACAUCCCUUUGGGUCUGAACUUCCAAGUCGAGUUCCCUGCACAAAUCAGCCAAACACACACUUGAAUAAGUGAGGUAUGCAGAAAAUGUGCAGAAGAAAACAUGCCAGAAGAAGCACAAUAAUUUUAUUUUUCUUUGACUAUCUUGCUUGCCCAACUUAAGGAAUAAGAAAUUAAAAAAAAAAAAAUAGGAGGGUCACUAGAGGGUCACUAGGGGAAGGUUUGCUUGCCAAAUCAUGGCUAUAAACCUUUUACACUAGAGUGAACUAUCUCAGCAAUCCUACUAAAGUUUUCAAACAAACAAUGUGAAAUUUUCAACAUUAAGAAAGAUAGGUAUUACUGCUAUCUGAUUCAGUUUCUCAAACAUUCAAAGCUCUAAAAUCUAAGAAAACUUGGUUUCUUGCAGUGAAUAAGAAAGGUAUGGUCCCGAAAUAUGAUAUGUUUGAUCAUUUCAUUCACAAAGAAAAUUGGUAUUAGCUUGCAUUACCAGAAUGUAUUAUUAUUAUGAAGCUUGAAUAUUUUAACGUCACUAUUAGCUGUGCACAAACUGAAACAUACAGUUAUUUGAGUCAUGAAGCUGGCAAGAUGCUCCUUGACAUGAUCUUCAUAGGCAUUAAGAUCUUUGUCAAAAGUAUUGGGCUAGAUAAGGACUCUAAACAGCUCACAUAUACUGAUACUCAACUAGGUAGGGUUCUUGCAUUAUGAAGUUUGCUACCAGGGAACAAUCCACAGUACACAGACCAUUAUAAUUUUGAAAACAUACCCCCCACCACCCUCUUGCCUAAGAAAGAUAAAAUUUAAAGAAAGUCUUGGAAUCCUAUAAAGCAACUUUGUUGUAAAUAAUCAUUACUCAAGGGAUAAACCAUGUUCUAAGCUUUUUCUAUCACCAAGACUAAGUGCUAUCCACAAAUGUCCCAAAUGCACAUCAAGAAAAGACCAUCAUACCAACCAGAGAGAGAGGGAGAAAAAAAAAAAAAUUAUUGGUACAAACAUUCAUAAUUCAAUAAAGCGACAUCAUACCAAAAUAAUAGUUAGGGGGUGGCUGAUUAAGUCCAUUAUACACUCAAAAAGUUUGAUCCUUCAUUCAUAAUGAACAUGUCUCAUAUCCAUCGAGUUGUCUUUAUGUGCACAUAACCCCGAAAAGCGACAUCAUACCACAAAAGUUAGUGUUUGAUGAGAGAGAGAAAGACACAUUAUUAAUCCAAUAGUUCUCUUUUAGUGCAGUGAUAAAGUAUAACAUUAUGUAAAAGCAACGAGUAAAGCCACAUUAAGCACCAAAUCCAGAAAGUUAAAAGCUUAAUUAAAAAAAUAUCUCUUACCUGUCCACCGGACAAGAGCAACACGCCUAAUUUUCCGUCGUGAAUUGCUUUCAAUCCCAUCUUCCACCACCUCUCUCGGUCUUCAAGACUCCGCUGCUCCACGCUCGACACACUGCUCUCCGGCACCGGCUCAAUCGCCGCCGUCGGUAGCCCUGCGCAAUCCAAUCCAAACCAAAUCAAAAUCCAUCACAAUUACACUUACAUUAUCACAAUGUGUGCUAACAAUAAUAUAACUAACCGUGAGAUCGAAGCGAGCACCGAAUGAUCCGAUCGAUUCUCGAAAGAUCCAGGCUCUGUUGCACAACACAAACACAAAUUGCAUCAAUUUCACGGAAUCAACCACAAUGCAUUUGAAAAAAAAAAUUAAAAAUAAAAAUCUGAAUCCCUGCAUGCUCUGUUUGUAAGAAGCAAGGAGAGAGAUCUAGGGGUGGAAAUGACCUCGAUGUCCUUGACGAGAAGCUGACGCUCGUCGGAGGAGAGCUCGUCCCAGUGGGCGAAGGCGUCUUCUUGGCCGUAAUCCUUGAGGCGUUCCAGCAAGGCCUGGGGCGGCGGAGGAGGUGGCGUCUGCGACACGUCGUUUACAGGCUCCCUCAUUUUGUUUUUCUUCUCUCUCUAGAAAUUUCGAAUCUUUCUCUCACUAGAAAACUGAGUAGAUCUCUCUCGCGAAGAGUGUGAGCUUAUAGUGAGAGAGAGCGAGCAAAGAAUCCACAGAGGACAGCUAACAGUAGCAGUGGCGAGGAAGACAAGAAUCAAUCAGUAACCACCUACUGGGUGUGAGAUGACGGUAAUGCCCCUGACCCGGUUUGGGGAUCCGGGAAGUGCGGGUCGGGGUCGGUCUAUUUGUGGGGUGUGGGGCCCGUGGGAGGACGGACGGGGCGUUGUGGGUAGUGGUGAUGUUGGGGAAAACUAGGAGGUAGAGCGAGGCUUCAACCACCGAUUUGUUUGACUCUGCCGACAAUGCCCUUUUUAGCGGGUGGGGGUCCGAGUACGACCCGAACCCUGUAGGAAAUGGGUGGGUUACCCUAAAAAAAUGUUUCAUUUUCUUGUUCCUAUUUUUACUUUUAUAGAUUUUUCUUUUUGAGAAGAACUUUUCUGAAAUUAAAAGAUCUAGGCCCCUAAAUCAAUCUGGUGUUGUUGACAGAAAAAAAAAAAAUAAUAUCAUUUCAUUUUGUCCUUGGAACAAAAAAAAAAACUUGAUACAUCUCGGACGAUUGUUCGGCUCCAUCUCAAUCAUAAUUAUUUUUUAUUAGUAUCAAAAUUUUGGGGUUGCUGGAUGACAUUAAGAUUGUAAUUCGACUUUAUAAUAGUUUGGUUGAUCACAAUAUGUGAUCGUGAACUAUUGUUAUCUAGUAUUUAUUAUUUGAUCGUAGUUUUGAAAUUUUUUGAUGUAUUGUAGUUAGAGCAAAAGAAACUCAAAAUAGUUAAAUACAAAUGAAACGAUUCGACAUUACGUUAUGUAAUUGUUCACCGCCGACAAUAGCGCUGCAAAAAUACAUUUGUUUCCUUUCUAUUAAAUCUUGUUGGUACGCCAUUAAAGAAACCUAUCCUCUGAGAAAGGGAGGAAUCAUAUGGUAAACGAAUCGUCAUCUACACAUAAACAAAGGGGGACUAAAUAUAGAAUAUGGGUGUUGAAACUUCAAAUCAAAGGAUGAUGGGACGAAAGAACAGGUUCAUGAUGAUAAGAUUUGAACUAUCAUGCAUAUUAAACUCAGGGUCAAGAAAGCCAACCAUCAUAUUCAAUAGCUAUCACAUUCAAUUAAAUUCAUGCGUUUUAUGAACUCCUUGGUUUGUAAUGCAAUGCAUGAUGUAAAUUCUCAACCAUUAUGUUGAGAUGUUGUUCUCACUUAUUGUUACAUAACAGAUCUGAACAGCCACCAAACAUCAAUAUGGUGACCAAUCCCUUUAGUAAUAUUCUUUACUUUUGCUGAAACUAAUAAUACCUUAAUAACAAAUGUAGGGUUUUGAAAAAUGACAUAUUGGUAACUUUCACGAAAUUGAACACUUUACAUAUUGUUCGAGACUCUUCAAAGUAUUUACUUCAUGAGUCAAAAGAAAAAAUUAGAUUACCAAUCUAGACUGCAACUCAUACCAAUCUUUCUCAGCUAGUUAUAAUUACUGAGGACUUUUGAGCCAACUUGUUGAACUAGGUUGAGAAUAAGGACUCAAACAAAUCUAGACACCUCUUCCUGCUGUAGUCUUCUUGCUAUAAAUUCACUUGUUCUAAUGAGCAUUUGUAUACCAUGCAUCAGCAACAAACAAAGCCUCAAAUUAGUUAUGGAUGUCUAUGUUUACUUCAACCCCAUCUCUCGCCUCAUUCUCCAUUUGAUGUCCCUGUUGUUUUUGGCUACUUCAUGCCUAAACACAAGCAGUACUAGUGUGGUAGGAUCAUGCAUGGAGGAAGAGAGACAAGCACUUCUCAGCUUUAAACAAGAUCUCACUGAUCCGUCUGGAAGGCUUUCUUCUUGGGUUGGUCACCACUGCUGUCAAUGGAGAGGCAUUUCAUGCAACAACCGCACUGGUCAUGUUGCAAUGGUAGACCUCCGCAAUCCAUAUCCAUACCUCUAUAAUGAUCUGUACUGGAACUCCACUGAAUUUGAAGAAUCUUGUUUGGGGGGUAAGUUGAAUCCUUCUCUGCUUGGCUUGAAACAUUUGAGUUACUUAGACUUGAGUGGCAAUGACUUCAAUGGGAUUUACAUUCCCAAAUUCAUAGCGCAGCUUACAAGUUUAAGGUAUCUCAAUCUUUCAAGUUCGUGGUCUGAAUCUUCAUUUGUAGGAGAGAUUCCCCCAUCUUUUAGUAACCUCUCUAACUUGAACUAUCUUGACAUUUAGUGGAAUUUUCAAACUUCUUCCAAAACCUUUAAUUGGCUUUCUCAUCUCUCUUCCCUAAAACACCUCAAUCUUGGAGGUGUGGACCUUAGCAGCACAUGAAUAAGUUGGCUGCAUGAUGUUAACAAGUUGACUUCACUCUUAGAGUUGCAUUUGUCUAAUUGUUGGAUUCAAAAUGAUGGAAACCAACUUCCACCCUCACUAUCCACAGUUAACUUGACAUCACUUUUGGUCCUUGAUAUGUCAUCAAAUAAUUUAAUCAGUUCUUCAUUUCCCAAAUGGAUGUUUAAUCUUUCUAGCCUUACAACACUUGAUCUAGCAGGCAAUCCUUUCAGUGAGCCCUCUCUUGAUGACUUUGCAACCCUAAGAUCUCUAGAACACCUUGAUUUAUCUGGUACGGGACUCAAAGAUCAAGUUCCAAAAUUCAUCGGAAAUUUGUGCAAGCUAAAGUCAUUAGGUCUUGCAAACAACAUGUUUGAUGGGGGGAUUGAAGAGUUUUUGAGUGGUUUUUCAAAUUGUUCAUCUAAUAGAAUGGAGUCACUAGAUUUAUCUCAUUGUGGGAUGGAAGGAAAAUUGCCUAAUUCAUUAGGAAUGAUAAAAAGCCUCCAGCAUCUUGACCUCAGUGAUAAUCUUCUCAAUGGUUCCAUUCCUGAAAGUUUGGGACAACUCUCUCAGCUAGUUACUCUAGAUUUAUCUCGAAACUCAUGGGAAGGUAGUUUAAGGGAAAUUCAUUUCACAAAUCUAACGAGAUUAGAGAUUUUUUCAAUAAGCACAUUCAAACUUGUGCCCGUCUUUUUUAACUUGAGUGAUUAUGAAUGGAUGCCUCCUUUCAAGCUCCAUAGUAUUUACAUAGACAAUUGCCAAGUAGGUGUUGGCUUCCCUUUAUGGCUUCAAUCUCAAACUGAGCUCUUGUAUAUCACACUAAGUAAUGCUGGAAUCUCAGGUCCAAUACCAGAGGAAUGGCUCUUUAAGAUAUCUUCUCAAAUCCAAACAUUGGAUUUAUCUUACAAUGACAUAACCGGAAAACUUCCUUUCAAAUUCAUCUUUCCAAAUCUAUAUAGUAUAGAUUUCAGCCAUAACCAAUUUGAUGGCCCUCUCCAGCUUUCGUCCACUAAUGUUCAAAUAUUAAGUGAGUUAUCUCUUGCUUAUAAUCACUUGAAUGAGACUAUUGCAUCAUCUAUUUGCACCAUUCAAUCUUUGGUUACCCUUGCACUGAACAACAAUCGGUUAAUUGGAAAAUUCCCUCGAGAAUGGGGCUUGUGGAGCAACAUAGAACUUGUCGAUGUCUCGAACAAUCAUCUGUCUGGUAACAUUCCAACUUCAACAGGUAUUCCAAGUUCUCUUGUACUAUUAAGGAUGGACAACAACCAUUUUAAUGGAUAUAUUCCUUCUUCUUUGCAAAAUUGCUCAUUUUUUGAAAGACUUUAUCUUGGAGGCAACAAUUUUACUGGAAGCAUACCCUUUUGGACAAGACCAGAAGUAUCCCAAUUGGAUGUGCUACAAUUGCGAGCCAACUUUCUAAGUGGACAUAUACCUCAACAAUUGUGCAAUCUUCCUUCUCUUCACAUCCUAGACCUGGGUCACAAUAACUUGUCAGGGACUAUUCCAAAGUGUUUGAUUAAUUUGACAUCUCUAGUCCUUUUUCCGAGUACCUCCUCAAUCUCUAUUGAACUACAUGAUCCAACAGUUGUGACUUUGAAAGGAAGAGAACUGGAAUAUGACUUUUUAAGAGCAGAACUUUUGACCAUUAUUGAUUUUUCAUCAAAUGGUUUAACAGGUGCAAUUCCAGAAGAAAUAAGCGGUCUGAUUGCAUUGGGUACCUUAAACUUGUCCAUGAACCAAUUAAGUGGAAACAUCCCUUCAAACAUUGGGAACUUGAAGUUGCUCGAAACUCUAGACCUCUCACAUAACCAGCUUUCAAGACAGAUUCCCCAAAGCAUUUCUUCUCUGACCUUCUUGUCUCACUUGAACUUGUCAUACAACAACUUGACCGGUAGAAUUCCUUCAGGCAAUCAGCUGCAGGCGCUGGAUGAUCCAUCUAUUUAUAAAGGCAAUCCUUCACUUUGUGGGUUUCCUCUUUCAAAAUGCUCAGAAGAAAGAGAUGACAGGCCUCAUGAAGAAGACAAUAAAGAUCAUGUAGAUGUUGGUGAAAGGCUUGGUUUAUAUGUCAGCGUUGUGAUUGGUUUUGUUAUAGGCUUCUGGGGUGUUUGCGGCACGUUGAUUAUGAACAAGUCAUGGAGGUAUGCCUAUUUUCAAUUCUUUGAUAAUGUCAAAGAGAAAGUAGUGCUAGCAAUUGCACUGAAAGUAGCUCGAGUCCAAAGAAGAUGGUGAUCUCAUCAUGCAUGUAUAAUAGCUACGAACCUUAUGUACAAGAUACAAGCAAGCAAUAAAACAAGCCAAGGUAGUAAAAUGGUGCCAUUUAUGAUUUUAUUUAUUUAUUUGUUCCUACAUGUUUGAAGAAGACUUCAAUUGCGAAUGUUGAGAACUUCGGAUCAUAUGGCAAGUAGGUAGUAGAAUGAUAAAACAAAUAAUCUUGAUUAUAUAUAUCUCGGACUAAUCAAAGUUAUGCUUCAUCUACUAUUUGAAUAAUUAAGUUUGAUGAAACAAUUGUUUUCUUUUUUAAAAUCUGAUUUUAAUGCCUCCUCUUUAUCUACUAUUUGAAUAAUUAAGUUUGAUGAAACAAUUGUUUUCAGUUAACAAAAUUGAAACCCAAAAUUAACCCAAAAUCAACACAUGAGGUGAGGACCUGAGGUCGAAUAAGAGGUACUCUUAUUAUGGACACUUAAUUUGAUCGGAUCAAAAAUGAAAAUAAAAUGAAUGAAUAAUUUAAGUCAUCACUAUUCUUCAUUCAAUUUUCGCAUACGGCGAUUUGAGGACUUGCACAUUAAUGGUGCAAGUGCACAUUGGUGCAUAGAAUCCGCUCCGUCUGAAUAUUACAAGUGAAAGAAGUGAGAUGGAAGCACUUUUAUGUCUGUGUUCCUUGCUCCCUAUGAUAUGAAAUGGGAUACUGAUAUGUUGGAUUCAAGAUGAUUGUAUAAUUUAUAGAGAAAAUACAUUUAGGACAAAAGCAAUUAGCGUUUGCUCUUAUGGUAUGUAUUAACUAUUACGUGAUAAUUUCUAAGGCAUUGCAACAAACCCUCAAUACUUAAUUUCCAGUAAUAACUAUCAUGGCAUUAAGUCAUUAACAAGUAACCUUAGGAAGAUUAAGAACAGCAAAGGAUGUGAUAUUAAUAUAAGAAAGGGUGGCAGGAAGGACAGAGAGGUCACAACUAGGCAAAUGCAAUUCAACAAGUGAAGGGAGCAUAUUAACACUAGGAAGCCAAUAUGGUGCAGCCAUGGUGAGGUUCGCGAGACCCAAGUUUAGGUACUUCAAGGAAGAAAGCUUAGGAAGCCAUCUGAGGUCACUCUUUAGGUAGUUACCCUUGAUAUCCAAAUAAACUAAUCUGAGAGGUUUCCAAGAUUGGGUGGAAUGACUCCGCGAAAAGAUGACCAAGAGAGAUCGAGGCAUUUUAGUUUCUCUAGUGAUCCUAUGAAAGUUGGAAGUUGGAGACCCCAGAGACCCCGUAUUCAUUCAUGCUCAAGUCCAAGUAAACCAAAUCUUUCAAAACAAGCAAAGAAGAGUUGAUCUCACCUCCUAAAGCAUGCAGGGUCACAUCAGGGUCAUAAAACCAACCAUUGCCAUAUGAGUAGCGAAAAAUGUCAUAUGGGUUACGAAGAUUGAGGCUAACCAAAGGUCCAGUUAAGUUGUUGCAGCCUACACCUUUCCAUUUGCAGCAAUCUGACUUCUGCCACCCAAGACGAAAGCUGGUCUGAGGGAUCUGUGAGGCCUUCUUUGAGCUUGAGUAGAGAAUUCUUCUCGAUCUCCAUACAACGUGUGUUAACAUCAGCCUUGCUGCAGAAACCAAGUGGGAUUGUUUCAAAGAAUAAAAUUCCUGACAGUAUCAGAAUUGAAACAAGUUUAAUGGAAUUACGUCUGUGACCCAUGCUUCUGAUGAAAGCAUGCAGUGGAAUGCUAUUAUUGACAGAUGGUUCGGCACUAUUUAAAAGGAUUAGAAUUAACAGGAUAUUUCAUAUAAAACUUGCUAAUAUUGGUAAAUUUCAUAAUCAGUUCGAUGCCAAGAAAUUUGCAAGCCUUCUAGAUCCACCAAUAUUCCAUGCUUCAUUUUCGAAGUCAUUGCGACAGGCCCUCAAUACUUAAUUUCCAGUAGCAACUAGCAAGGCAUUAAGUCAUUAACAAGAAACAACAGGUCCAGUGGAGACAAUUAUAAUAAACUUAGAAGAGACUACUACUACUGCUACGAGACUACAACGCAAGAGGAAACUACCUUUUCACCGUAGACUCGAUAUAGUUCAACAUCAAGACUUCCAAUGUUUUCGACCCAGUCAAGACUCCAGGUUCCUUGUCUUAUUUAUAGUGACUGAAUUUCAUCAUGUUUAAUAUAGUUAACUGCAGAUAUGAGUCAAGCACAGUAAGAGAGUCCAAUAAACUUUGAUCAUCCAGAGACUUCCAAAUCAAUCAUUCCAAUUCUAACUAAGGCCCAUUAGUUGUAAGAUGCUUCUUAACAUAUUUGAAUCCAUAUUGACAUCAAAUGCUGGUUUUAUUCAUACCUCCAAACAGACCUUUCUUGAAGCAGUUUCAAGUGGUAGUAAAUAUAUGAAUGUUUUACAUCAAUAAUAUAUAUAAAUUCCGGCCAAAAGAAACAAGCUUUACAUUAAGGAAAGGAUAUGUUUAUUACAUUGCUUUAUUUUCUGAAUCGAAAAAAGAGUAAACAAGUGCUUUUAAAUUUCACCUGUAAUGAAACAUAUCACCACGCUUCCAACAGCUGGUGAUCCAUAGACGUCCAAAUACACUAUGCUUACAACAUGCUUAAUUAUUUGGACGUCUGCAUUAGCUGGAAACUGAGGAGAUUCAUGGCCUUGGCAACCGGUUAGUAACGGAUACCCAAAAAGAGGAUCAUUGCCUUCAUUGGAAUGGUGGCGAUGAGUUGGAACAGAGAUGUCAUGGCUGUGAAGCAGAGCCGCUGUUUUGGACGAAUAAUAUGUGGGCUAGGUGGAGAAGUGUUAUGUUUGGGCUGUCGGAGGUGACGUGGGCCCAACAGGUUAAAGGGUCCACCAUUUAAAAAAAAAAUAAGUGUUUCCUCUAAUGGGUAUUUUGGUCUUAUGCGGGCUAGAGAAGAAGUGUUAUGGCUAGGUGGUUGGACGGGAUGUGGGCCCAACGGGUCGGUGAGGUCCACCAUUUAAAACGAAAAAAAAAACUAAUCUAAUUUGGUCUUAUGCGGGCUAGGCAAAGAAGGGCUAUGGCUAUUUCGUUACGGGUUAGGCGGUUGGACGUAACGUUGGCCCAACGGAUAAAAGGGUCCACCAUUUAAAAUAGGUAUUUUGGUAUUCCGUGACUUUCAUCUUCUUCUCUAAAAUCCGUAUUCUCGAGUAACAUUUAGACGUCUAUGGAUACAACAUGCUUAUUUUUUAGUUUUUACAGUGUGUUUUUAUGCCAGUCAAUUGAUAGGUUGCAAAGAUUUGGCGUCAUUUUCAGAAAGAAAACGAAACAAUCGUAGGUUGUACGCACUUGGUAUAGUUGUAUGUACAGGUCGGGGCUAGGACUAAAGUAAAAGAACAAGAAGAUAUAUGCAAGAAGCAAUAGUUUAGUUUAGAACAGAAAGAUCUUUACAAACUCUUAGGAUCAUAAACAACAAGCUUUCAAAACCCUGCUCUAUUCCUGAAUGAAAAAUUGUGAAGUUAAAACUUAAAACUUAAAACUAAUUAAAUUUCCGAGAAAAUUAGAUAAAAACCCAAAAUAUUAGACCUCUUUUAAGAUAAACCCAUACAUAUUUUUCUUUUAUUUUACACCAGACAUACUAUAUAGAGCAAAUGUCUAUAAUUAAUAGUUUUCUUCAUUUUUCGGUUUCUCUAAUUUGCCCUUCAGACAGUAGAAAACUAAAUUUGGUAUAUUUCUCAAUUUUAGCAUCAAUUUGAAACUCAAAUAGUAGCUAAAAUUUAGUUGGAUUUAACUUUGUCAUAAUCAAUUACAUUCUUUAAUUUCUUACCUUGUUAUUACUAACUUAAGUGUGUGUGUGUGUAUAUAUAUAUAUAUAUAUGUUAUAUACAUAAGUAUGUCAUUUGUAAUAGGAUGAUACUUUUCAUUCCUAAGCUCACAUUUGGUGUCUUUCUACGUAGUCGAAAAAUGUCUAAUUGUAAGGUACACGUUCCUUUGAUUAAUUUUCUUUUUUUUAGGUAUAUUAUUCUAUCAUUUCUUAUCCUAAUCGAGAGAACAAUUUAUUCUCUACUACUUACAUUUCUAAUAUACCUAUUAAGUAGGGUAUGAUAUGAUAAUAUACCUAAAAACAUUUCUAAUAUACCUAUUAAGUAGGGUAUGAUAUGAUAAUAUACCUAAAAAGAAGAAACCUAAAAUUGGGUUUAGGAUAUAGGGUUAAGGUAUAGGGUUUAGGGUAUAGGUUCAGGGUAUAGGGUAUAGGGUUUAGGGUAUAGGGUUUAUGGUUUAGGGUUUAGGGUUUAGGGUUUAGGGUAUAGGGUAUAGGGUUUACGGUUUAGUGUUUAGGGUAUAAGGUUUAGGGUAUAGGGUUUAGAUCAUAUAUCUUAUUCAUAUUAUAUUUUACCUUAUAUAUAGAUUAGAGAAUGAAUUCCUUUAAUCUAGAUUUUUUUCAUAAAAAUAAAGAAAACUACGUGAUACUUGCAAAUUGAUUGAAAAAUGUUAGUGUUAGAAGAAAAACUUAUAAUUAAGGUAUUUAAGACAACAUCAAUUAAACUUAUUUAUUAUAUUUAUAUGUUAUAGUUGAAUUGUGGCAAUUGUGUAAAAUUUAGAAAAAAUAGGACAUAAUAUUUAUCAUAAUUGAUACAUUUUAAAUGUCUAUCUGAUAGGCUUCAAAAUUGGGUGUAUAUGAAAAUUCCCCUAAAUUUCAUGUGCCCUCUGAUAUUUUCGUAUACAAGCAGCCUUCACUCUAUGAAUAAUGAAGUGGCCGGAAAUAUGUUCUCCUCCAAAACUUAAGGUUCCACAAACGCCCCAGAACCCCAUAUGAUGAAACCAAUCACCGCGCUGUUGAUGAGCCCCAACAUUUCAAAGCCAUUGUCUUCUCCACCACCUCCUCUUGGAACUGGAGGCGCUCCGCCAUUGACUUGGCAAUCAGGCAACGGAUAACCACAAAGAGCGGCAUUGCCUUCAUAUAUUGAUGGAUCAACGGUUUUGAAAUCACUCGUAUAAAAAAAAAACGGUUCUGAAAUCACGAAGGGUGAGCUCUCCUUAAGAACCCAUUUACCAAUUUUGUUUAAACAAAAUUUACCCUGCUUUGCUUAAAAUUGUUGACGCUUUGCUUGUACUCUGAAUAAAGAAAUUGUAUAUUUUUCCACAAUUCAAACCAGUAGCUUUAGUGCUUUACCGAGCAAGAAAUUGGUGCAUGUUUUACUGAGUUUGCAGUUUCUAAAGUUUGUGUAUGCUUUUUAGACUUGCGACAACGGUUGAAAGAACCAAAGAAUUAAUUGAACACAUAAGACAAGGAUCACAUAUGCCUUGUUUUUGCAAUUAUUUUUGCCUAAUAUAUACGUGGAUGCAAACCUUUGUUAAUUGGUUCCAUUGGUGGUCGGUGUCCUUGAAAUUGUUCGUUCCAUGAUUGGUAAGUAAUAUAUAAGACUGGUACGACCUUUUAUUGUAAAUCAAGUAUGUGUACGUUGAUAAUCAAGUUGAAUUGGUACCUCAUUGUUCUUUAACAUUAUGCGUGCAUGGUUAUACUCGGUUCUCAAUCAUCACUAAGAGGAUAUGAAUGAUCAUAUUUCACAUAAGGAAAAGAUGGGUGAAACUACAUCAGUAAGGGCAACUUUAGCAGAUUAUAUAUUUUAGUUUUUAGUUAUUUUCGAUAGCGUGUUUAACUUUUUUGAUAUUUUUGGAGCUCUAGCAGACUAACCAAAGUUUAGCAAUUAUGACUUUUAGUUAUCUCACUAGCUAGAUAUAGAGAGCGAGAUGACUCAGAUGAGGCUAACUAUAAUUUAAUACAUUCCUUGUAAGAUAUUUUACGUGAUAUAUAAAUAUAUUUAAACUAUUUAAUCUUUAUUUGAAGAAUAAUGUUGAUGUAAUGCUAGCUAAAAUAGAGAGUAUUGAUGCAGCUGCAUUUCUAAAGUGACUAACCAAAAUGACAUUUUAGCUAAUUUGAUUAAAAUUUAACUAAAAAAUGGCUAACAAUGUUAAAGAUGUUCUAAUAUAUCUUUGUUUCAAGCUGUGUUGAAGUUUAAUAUAUGAUCCGGAAUGUACGUUGUCGAUCUUCUCCACUUGGAAAAUUAAGGUUGAGCCUUUUGGUGGGAUACGAAACAAAUCCCACCGGAUAUUUAUCGUCUCUCAUUUGCGUGGUGAAUCAAGCAACUUUCGUUACUUCAAGAUUUUGAUGUUCUGGUUUAAUUAUAUAUGUUUUCUCCAAUGAAAAUAACAUUUAUGAGGGCGAUCAUCUUUUGAUAUAGACCAGCUGAUAAGGUGAAAAGGACACUGGGGGUGAUAUAGCUGGAAGCAAAUCACCUGUUCCGGAAAACCCUAUGCCAACCCUUUGCCACAAAUAGUAAUUUGACAUCUGGCAUCUGGCCACUAAAUUUAACUAAGUUAACACUGUUAAUACUUAGGAGUGCAAGAAAAAAGGAAAAAGGAAAAAGAAAAAGAAAAAAACCCUUUGAAAACCUAUGAAACCCAGAAAUUUCAAUCCCAGCCUUUUUCCCCUUGCUUUCUUCUUCCAGAAACCCAGCCUUCUCUUUGUUCUUCUUCUUAUCAGAUCAAGACUCAUUUGUUCUUCUUCUUCUUCUGUAAUUAAGUCCAACUUUACCCAAAACUAAGUUUUCCAGAUCUAUAGCCCUCUCAAACCCACUUACAUAACCUCAUCGGAAAAAAAAGACCUCACUUCCAUAAGCUAUAGAUCUGGAAAUUCAUAGCCCUCACCACAUCUGAUAAGAAGAAACAAAAUCAAAUUGCAACAACAAUUAAACGAAAACAAAUCUCAAUUACUCUCACAACAUCUGCCACACCGAUUAUCAAGUUUCACAAUUCUCAAUUGCAACAACAAAAUCUCAAUCUUCUUGGCCUGCAAAAUCAGCUACGAUUUUCAUUUUCUCAUUUUGGAAACCACAACUAUAUUUGUUCUGCCUCUCUCCUCUUCUCUGAUCUGACGUCCGUCGGCGACUUUAAAUUCAGGAUAUCUUGCAUUCACACCCUGGCCCUCCUAAAGAUCGAAUUUUCGUUUGAACGGUUGAACCUCUCAGAACUUUUGGGAAUGGCACCAUUGGUCUUGAUUUCACAUCCAUAUAGAGAACCCAAAAUGAGAAGAAAAUGGGAUAUGAACUUAGAUCAACCAGAAAGAGUUGCCCUCGUGUUUUUGUUUUUGUUUUUUUUUUCGUCCUCCACAAACUAAACGGUGUUAGUAAAUAAUGAGUUAGUGGCCAGAUGUCAAAUUACUAUUUGUGGCACAGGGUGGGCAUAGGGUUUUCCGGAACAGGAGAUUUUCUUCCGAUAUAGCUAGACUCGUUGUACGUCCAAACAUGGACUAAUAUUAACUUUUAGCUAGACCAGAAAAUUCGCAAUACCGAAGACGUAGAAAUUAAAGACGUCUUUGAUGAUGGAGACCUUAACUUAUAAAAUGGGAUGACUGAUUACACGUACUAUUAAGAGGACUUCCAGCCAAGGCAAGUCAUUGCUGAGAAGGAGAGCUUAACUUGUUAAAAGGGGUUGAUCAUCGCAAUCAAACUUGUAGAAAGAGCUGAGUACGUAGUUACGUACUGUAGAAUCUGAAAAUCUCACAGCACGGUUCUAGCUUUGAAGCCUAUAUAAAUUCACUUGUUCUUUGUUCUCAGUGACAAAGAAUCCAAUCAUGGAUUUCCAUGUUUACUUCAACCCUAUACCUCGCCUCAUUCUUGGCGUCCUGAUUUUGUUGUUUUUGACCUCUUCGUGCCUAAAUACUAGUACUAAUGUGGUAGAAUCAUGCAUGGAGGAAGAGAGACGAGCGCUUCUUAGCUUUAAACAUGAUCUGAUUGAUCUAUCCGGUCGACUUUCUUCUUGGGUUGGUCAUCAAUGCUGUCAAUGGAGAGGGAUUUCCUGCAACAACCGCAUUGGUCAUGUUGUCAAGCUUGAUCUCCGCAAUCCAUAUCCAUUGCACCCGAAUGUCACUAAAUUUGAAGAAUCUUGCUUGGGGGGUAAGUUAAAUCCUUCUUUGCUUGGUUUGAAACAUCUAAGUUACUUAGACUUGAGCCAGAAUAAUUUUCAAGGGAUUCACAUUCCUAUCUUCAUCGGGGAGCUAACAAGUUUGAGGUAUCUCAAUCUUUCAAAUUCGGGGUAUGGUAGUUCAUUUGUGGGAGAGAUUCCCGCAUCUCUCGGUAAUCUCUCAAUCUUGAACCAUCUUGACCUACAUUGGAAUGAUAAAAUUUCUUCCAAAAACUUGAAUUGGCUUUCUCAUCUCUCUUCUUUGAAGUACCUCAAUCUUGGAGGUGUGGAUCUUAGCAGCACAAGAGUAAGUUGGUUGUAUGCUGUUAACAAGCUACCUUCACUCUUAGAGUUGCACUUGUCACAUUGUUCUAUUAAUAGAAACCACCUUCCACACUCGCUGCCUACAGUUAACCUCACAUCACUUUCAGUCCUUGAUAUGUCAUAUAACGUUAUUUAUUCUUCGCUUCCUAAAUGGAUGUUUAAUCUUACUAGUCUUACAAAACUUGAUCUCGCGGGGAAUCAUUUCAUUCGCCCCUCUCUAGAUGAAUUUGUAAGACUAAAAUCUCUAGAACACCUUGGCUUAUGGAGAAUUGGACUCAAAGGUCACUUACUUCCCAAAUUCUUUGGAAAUUUGUGCAACCUGAAGUCAUUAGAUCUUUCAAGCAACAUACUUGAUGGGGGAGUUGAAGAGUUUUUUAGUGGUUUUUCAAAUUGUUCAUCUAAUAGAAUGGAGUCACUAGAUUUAUCUCAGUGUGGGCUGGUAGGCAAAUUGCCUAGUUCAUUAGGAAUGCUGAAAAGCCUCCAACGUCUCAUACUGCAUGAUAAUCUUUUGAAUGAGUCCAUUCCUGAAAGUUUAGGACAACUCUCUCAACUAGUUAACCUUGAUCUCAGUUUCAAUCAUUUCGACGGUCCCAUUUCUCAAAGUUUAGGAAAUCUCUCUCAGCUAGUUAGCCUUGUUCUUCGUUCCAAUCGUUUCUACGGUUCCAUUCCUCCAAGUUUGGGACAACUCUCUCAACUUGUUAAGCUUGAUUUGUCUAAUAAUUCAUGGGAAGGCAGUUUAACAGAAGCCCAUUUCAUAAAUCUCACUAGAUUAAAGUAUCUAUACUUGAGCACAACCCCACAAAAUCAUGUGCCCACCAUUUUCAAUUUGACUGAUUAUGAAUGGAUUCCUCCUUUCAAACUCCAUACACUUUUCAUGGACAAUUGCCGAGUGGGCCCUGGUUUCCCUGUGUGGCUUCGAUCGCAAACUGAGCUCUCAUCUGUCAGACUUUCAAAUGCUGGAAUCUCAGGUGCAAUUCCAGAGGAAUGGAUGUCUAAUAUCUCUACCCGAAUCCAAUUUUUGGAUUUAUCCAACAAUCAAAUAAGCGGAAAGCUUCCGUUCCACCAAUACAACUUUCAAGAUCUGCUCGAGAUAGAUUUCAGCCAUAAUCAAUUUGAUGGAACUAUUCCAUCAUCUGUUUGCAGCAUUUAAUAUCUAGAUGUCCUUGCUCUGAAUAACAAUCAGUUAUCCGGAGAAUUCCCUAAAGAAUGGAGCUUGUGGAGCAACAUACAAAGUGUGGUUGUCUCAAACAACAAUUUGUCUGGUAAUAUUCCAAGCUCGAUGGGUGUCCCAAGUUCUCUUGUAAUGUUAAAGGCAGACAACAAUCAGUUCAAUGGAGAAAUUCCAUUUGCCUUGCAAAAUUGCUCAUUUUUAGAGAGACUCUAUCUUGGAGGAAACAAAUUAAGUGGAAGCGUUCCUUCUUGGAUAGGUUCAAAAGUAUCCAAACUCACAGUGCUGCAAUUGCGAUCAAACUCUUUAAGUGGACAUAUUCCUCACCAACUAUGCAGUCUUCCUCUCCUUCAUUUCCUAGACCUUGGUCACAACAGAUUUUCAGGGACUAUUCCCAAGUGUUUGAAUAAUUUGACUUCUCUAGUCUCUGGUCCGGAUAAUAGCUGGCGUUUCUUUAGGGACUUUGAGGAAACAACCGUGACUAUAAAAGGAAGAGAAUACUUCACUAGACUAGUGUGGCAGAUGGCCAUUAUUGAUCUUUCUUCAAACGAUUUAGAAGGUGAAAUUCCUGAAGAAAUUAGCAGCCUCGUUUCAUUGGUUACCUUGAACUUGUCCAUGAAUCAAUUGAGUGGAAGUAUCCCCUCCAAGAUCGGAAACUUGUACCAGCUCGAAACUCUUGACCUCUCCCUGAACCGGCUCUCAGGACACAUUCCACAAAGUCUCUCAAAUAUGGCAUUCUUGUGUUACUUGAACUUGUCUCACAACAAAUUGACCGGAAGGAUCCCAUCAGACAACCAACUUCAGACGCUCGUUGAUCCAUCUAUUUAUGAGGGCAAUUCACUUUGUGGAUUUCCACUUCCAAAAUGCCCAGAACACGAAGUCAACAUGCAUAAGCCUCAAGAUCACGGAGAUAAAGAGGAAAAGCUUGGUUUCUAUACCAACACGGUGGUUGGAUUCAUCAUAGGUUUUUGGAGUGUGUGCGGCACAUUGAUAUUGAAAAAGUCAUGGAGGUAUGCUUAUUUUCAAUUCUUUGAUCACAUUAAAGACAGAGUGAUCGGAGACAAAACAUAUAUUCGCCAGCUUCUAUUUGUUUAUCUUGUUAUUUUGGUAAUGUUAGCAACAUUUAUCUACUAUGCUCUUAUUUUUUCAAGUAUUGUCAGUCUGGUGAGUACGUAGGGUGUUGGCUUUUGUUUCUGGUAGAAAGUUUUGAAAUUUCCUUUGAAGAGUUAAGGUUCUCAUGUCCCCCUCUUGGUUUGUAAACUUUUUUUGUUUCGUAUGAAAAUGGGUGGAUUUGAGGGGUGGUUCACCUUCCAAAGGCUAGAGCUCCUUAUAGAGGAGUGAGAAUGCGUACGGGUCAUUGGUACAUCAGCAAUGCAGGGGAUUCAUUUUGCAGAGUAUAUAUGAUACCUCAAUUUUAUUUUUAUGUUUGACAAAACAAUCGUCACAUACACGAUCCAUCAUAUAAUGUACAAUUGACAGGUACUAGAUUAUUACGAUUUCUCCUGUAUAUUCCUAUAUAUAUACACAGUAAUGUCGAAAAAAUGUCCAAUCUAGAGCUGAGUCUAUAAAUGCCAGGACAGCCAAACCAGAUGCCCAAACAUCAUCAUCCAAUACAUGUUCAACAUGCGUGGCCUAGCAAACGUAGCUUCCAGUUCUUUGACCAUAUUAAAGAGAAAAUUGCACUGGCAAUUGCAUUGAGAGUAGCUCGUUUCCAAAGAAGAAUCUGAUUGGAGACAAGACAUCUGUAUAAUGUUGCUGUUGUUAUUUUGGUAAUGGCAGCAACAUUUAUCCGCUAUGCUUUCUUUUUUUCAGUUGUAUUGUCAGUCGGGUCUGUGCAGUAUCAAGUUUGGAAUAUACAUGAUCCAUAAUGAAACUGUACAAUGACAAACUAGAUUAUUGAGAUUUCUCUUAGAUUAUUGACAUACUAUACAGUAAUGCCGAAAAAAUGUUACAAUCUAGAGUUGAUUCUCUAUGAAUUCCAGGAGUGCCAAACCAGUUGCCCAAACAUCAAGUUCUUCAGAAGAGUGACUUAUGCCUCCUCGAUACCCUUGCAUCAUGUCCUGCUCCACUCAUCAAUAUAAGCUGCAUACUUCAUCAGCUACGAGGUCAGCUGCAGCUCAGAAACAUAAAUGACUGCAUUUGCAUCGUACAAUUCUCAACUAUGGAAUGUUUCUUGUUUGUAUGGUUAAAUGAAAAGUAAUUUAGGCAUGCACCUAGAUAAGAAUGCUGAAAUACUUUUAUACCAUCACUCUUGUCUGUCCAGCUAUGCCUUUAAAAAUCUCCUAGAAGAAAACCAACCCAUUCCAUGCAGUACUGGCCCUUGUUCAAUGUGAAUCUACAACAUGAAAAUACCAGCAGGGUUUGCAGUCAGAGCACUCGAAGCACUUAUAACAUAUGCAUCCAUUUUAUUGCUGUUUCCACAGAGAAUAUACUAAUACAGGUUAUCAACAUAACCAGCAUAGGGCAUUAUUUAUACCUCAACAUAACCCCAUACUGAUCAACUUCGGGUCUUAUCUGAGCAGCUGCAAGUGCUCUGUUAUUUGAAUAAAUAUAGACUGAGGCCAUGACAAAAGAUCGAGUGCAAUACAUGACAUUGCCAAUGUACAUGAUAAUUCCACACUGCACAGUUUCCACUAUAUACAUUUGGUGUGGUAUUCCUUCUUCUUCUUUUUUUAUAAUUUUUUUAACGAAUAGUGGAUUAGACUAUGAUCAUUGUAUUAUGAUUCUUUACCAUAUAAUUUCAGUGUAGGAGAUGGAGAUCAGUUGGAGGUUGGGAAAUAUACAUGCCACUAAACAUCAGUGCUUAACCAAAUCAAAAAUGGAAAUCAUAGAAGUGAUCUUAUCAUGGAUUGCAACCGAGGCCUUGUUCGAGCCUUGUCUUAAUGGAGAGAAAGUGUUAUGAACCCCAAUGAACAUUUCAUUUCAAUCCAUUUACAUCAAAUUAAACAUGACGUACAUAACAACUAAGUCAUGCAACUUGAGAACUUCGAACAUUUUGCACCGUUGUGCAAGUAACCCAACAAUCAAAAGGUGUUUGAUUCAAUUCAGCCAUCGAUUCAUGUUGGUGAAAGUUCUACUCUCAGUUGGGCCACUAUUUUGGGCCAUUCAAAGAACCCCUCCUCAAUCCACAAACAACUCAAAACAAAAACACAAAGAAACAAAACCCAAAAAAACCAAAGAAAAGCAAAAUCCAGAGUCAGAGAGGCAGCCACGCCAAACACUCUUCCUCAGUCCCAACGAGAAUGGCAACUGCCUUCUCUAUUGCCCAAACUGCUCUCUUCUCCAAAACCUCUCUCUCUCUCCGCACCAAUGCCCUCAGAAGCUUCACCUUCUGCCUACCCUUCUCUUCUUCGGCAGCUCUCGCUUCUGAUAAGCCCCACAGCAAGAAAUGGAGACAGCCAGUGACCUCGGCGCUGGAGCUUGGCGGCGUCAAGAUUGCUAAAGAUGGUAACUUUUCACUGUUUCCCUUGUAUAUUUGAGCUUCUUGUUGUUAAAGAUUGUAACUUAUUGGGUUUUGCAAUUUGCGCAUCUCUGAAAUUGGUGUUGGUUUAGUGUGGAAGUGUGAUAUAUGAAGUGGGCAACCUGUUUUAGAGCUUGGGUCAAUGCAGGUUUUGUGGUUCUUAUUCAUCUUGCUGCUGGGUUUUGCUUUGUAUGAUGUGCAGUUUUGGUUGUUUGAAAGGUCAUGCAUUCUUUUUGUGUUAGUGUUGAGAUUUAAAGUGUUUGGAUAGUUGGUUAAUGAAUUGAGGACAGUGAAUUGGUUGACUAAGAAAAUAAGCAGCACCUUUAAUUGGUUAAAUCUCGGAGACAAAGCCGAAGUAAAGUUUACUGUUAUUAGUUAACUUUACUGUUAUUGCUGGUCUAUUUCGAGUUUUUCAGUUACCUAAGUAAAGUUUUUAGUUUUAUGUGAUACUGCUUAUUAGCGGAAUGUAUCUCAAUUCACUUUGUUCCGUUUCUGGUAUACUGCUUUCGGUUUGGCACAUUAGAGUUUGAAACUUGUUAACUGAUACACACUCCCAUACUAUAGUAUAUAAAACUAGAAAACUGAUCUCUUGUGAUUUGAAUGAUCUGUAUUGGAUAAUAUUGUUAGUUUAUGGAUUGUAUAAAUGUGGAAAGAUUGCCCCACAAACAAAGUUCUGGAUACAGUGCUCUUGCUUGCUUUUGAAAUUAUGUAGUUGGUUAUGGUUUGUAGAUGUGUUGAGGGAUGACCCCACAAACAAUGUUCCGGAUACGAUUUUUGCAAAGCUUGGAAUGCAACUGCAUAGAAGAGAUCAGCACCCGCUUGGAAUUCUGAAGAAUGCUAUAUAUGAUUACUUUGACACUAAUUACUCGAGCAAGUUUGACAAGUUUGAUGAUCUUUGCCCACUUGUAUCUGUUAAGGAGGUAUGACAUUGAUCAAGUUUUCCAUUUUAGAUACCCUAUGUUGCUUCAGAUGUUAGAUUUUCUAGUGCACAAUGUUUGAUUUGUUUAUCAGAGUGGAGACACCGAGACAAUGCAUCCAGUCUUUCAGUUUUCAACUGACAAUAAGAGUUGAAGAGAGUGCAUUCUUCCAUAGUUAUUUGAUAUCAUUACUGUUACCAGUGCAAUUUUCAUGAAAACCUGAACUUAAGUUUUGGGGAGACUCUUCAUGUUUACUCCUAUGUCUGCUUCCAGAUGAUUUACCAUAUCACUUAUGUUUAUGCCUUUUCUUUUUCUCUUUAAUUUUCAUAUAAUAUAAAUGUAAAUGGAUGUUUGUGAUAGUGGUCUUUGUUAUUGUAAUUCCUUGUGACUUAAUUCUUGACAUUAAGUCAUUUCUUUCAGAAUUUUGAUGAUGUAUUGGUUCCUGCUGAUCAUGUGAGUCGAAGUUAUAAUGAUACAUACUAUGUGGACUCUCAAACAGUUUUGAGGUGCCAUACAAGUGCCCAUCAGGCAGAGUUAUUGACAAGAGGACACACUCAUUUCCUUGUAACCGGAGAUGUGUACCGUAGGGAUUCCAUCGACUCUACACAUUACCCGGUGUUCCAUCAGGUUUCAUAUCUAUAAUGCAUACUAACAUUUUAUUGCUGAUUAGCUUGUUGGAAUCAUGUCACAUCUGAUGAAAUAGUUUUCUGCCCAUAUAGAUGGAAGGAGUUCGUGUUUUUUCUCCAGAAGAUUGGGCGGCAUCCGAGACAGAUGCAACAUCUUAUGUAGCUGAGGACUUGAAGAAAUGUCUUGAGGGAUUGGCACGCCAUCUAUUUGGUAAGAUAAGAGUGACUAAUAUCUCGAACUGUCAUCAUCUGUUAUACAUAACUGUAAUUUUGGGCACGCCAUUUUGAGGCCUUGAGGGCUGCAGCAUCCAAAAAUUAUUGUGCAUAAGUUGAAUAUAUGAAGGCUAGUUUUCUAAACUCUAGACAAAACAUACUUACAUAAAAACAAUAUCUGAGGUAAUAUUGAAGAGGUUUUUUACAUAGAGCUUUUCGAACUGAAUAUCAUUUACUUUAUAUACUCAUGGAAACUUUGUUUUAUUUUAAUUGUUUAAGUAAUUGAAAGUGUUUUUUUUUUUUUGUUUCUGGAUUGUAAUUCUCUUACAUCAUUUUAUAUACUUAUAUUUGAACCAUCGGAUUUGAAGAGAUCAAUAUUUUCAGGUGAUGUGGAGAUGCGCUGGGUUGAUACAUAUUUUCCAUUUACCGAUCCAUCUUUUGAACUUGAGAUCUUCUUUCAGGUAUGAUAUUGAUUCCAAUCAUUUGACGCGUUAGAACUUUGAAUUUCAAACUAUGUUUCAUUAAUUUGUGUUUUGUUAUCAUUCUGUUUGAGAUUCUUUUGUUCUGUUUACAGGUAAUCAAAAAUUAUACAAUAUACAGAGACAUAUCUUACUAACCUACUGCAAACAACUUUUAAGAUUAUUACAUAUUCAAGUAAGAUAAGAUGAGGUAAAACAAUCUGCUUGUUGUGAUAUUAGGGACAUUAACAGGUGAUGAAACUAUUGAACUUUAUGCAUAUCCUAGAAUGCAUGUAGAUACAAAAGAAUAAGAGUUGCUGUAAAAUUUAACAAAUUCUUGUCAAGGAUUGGGCACCAUUCCCUGAAUAUGAUUCUUUUCUUAGCAUAAUAAAACAUUUGUAAACUAAUAUUGAAUAUACUCUCAGGAAAAGUGGUUGGAGGUUUUGGGUUGUGGAGUAACAGAACAAGAAAUAUUGAAGAGAAGUGGCAAAACAGACAAUGUUGCUUGGGCUUUCGGACUGGGACUGGAGCGGCUGGCAAUGGUUCUAUUUGACAUCCCUGAUAUUCGCCUUUUCUGGUCAACUGAUGAGAGGUUUACCUCCCAGGUGGUUCCUGUACCCAUUAAAUAAUGUUAUCGUAUUAUUCUCCUUUCUCUCAUGUAAUCCAUUUUCUUUCUUCUGUUUUUUUGUUUUCCUUCUUUUGGUAUCAACUUGUUGAAAAGUAAAACCUCAGAUAAGCAGUCCUUGAUACUAUUGUAAUCCACUAAUACAGUCCUUGAUACUGUUGUAAUCCACUAAUAUCUUUCUUUUCCUUAUUCAAUUACAAGUCUGAUCAUUUAAUUUUGAAUUCUGGUUACAGUUUUUGAAGGGGCAGCUGGGAGUCAAGUUCAAGCCAUAUUCGAAGGUACUUUGCAACUCCCACUGAGAGACAGUUCUCUUAUGAUCUAGUGAUUCUUUCCACUGGAAGAUUUUCAUGUAGGUCCAAAAUUAAAAGCUAUGUAAUAGUCACCUAAGGCAGUUUGCUUCAUUUGUAACUCUAGGUUUUUCAGUAGAUACUACUGGCAAGCAUUUCUUAUCAUUUUUUUUUUUUCUUUUCAGUAUCCUCCAUGUUACAAAGAUGUCAGUUUUUGGAUCAAUGAAUCUUUCACCGAAAACAAUUUAUGUGAAGUUGUUAGAGAGGUUGCUGGUGAUCUUGCUGAGGAGGUAUGUCUUAUAGUGUUUUCACUUGUAUCAACUUUCUGGAGGUGUGCGGUUGAAAAUAUUAGUGUAUGUCUUUUAGUGUUUUCAUUUGUGUCAACUUGCUGGAGGUGUGGCAGAUGAAAAUCAUCAAUUUAAAGAAUAUAUUGCACUCAGAAAGUAUAUUAGUUCUGGUGAAAUAAAUUCCCUGCAUUUGUAAACUUAAAAUUGAUCAGUCAGUUCAAUGUUGAAUGUUUCUUCUACAAUUGCAUUGCCACUGCAGAACCAAUUGAUUAUAACUUUUUCUUACCUCGUCCAUCCAACCUAUUUCUCCAAAAUCAUUCCAAAAACAUGUAUAUUGUGCUCCAAAAGACUAGAAUUCUUGUAGAGUAAUCCUUAAUACUUGCCAAUAUGUUUUGCAAUCUAUCAAGUUGGCUGUUUUAUGUACGGCUUACUGAAAUAUCUCUUGUAUAAUUGUCAGGUGCAAUUGAUAGACAACUUCACAAACAAGAAAGGAAUGACCAGCCAUUGUUACAGGAUCGCUUAUAGGUCCAUGGAACGGUCACUUACAGAUGAUGAAAUCAAUAAGUUGCAGGUAGUUCAUAUACUACGAGGUCGUGACAUUUCUUUCCUUCUUAUAAGACAUACAAGCAUAACCUCAAAACUUGUCACAAUUGCUUAUGCAGGGUGCUGUACGAGAGUUGGUUGAGAGCAAGUUGAAGGUGGUGUUGAGAUGAGAAUUCCUGGUGUGGUGCAGUACCCUCUUUUGGCAGCUCGAAAUUAUGUACAUUCUGAACUUCGUUUAUUCUGAACUUUGUUUUCCUUGCCAAAUGUAUUUGAGCCUGCCCAAUACACACAACUUGAGAAACAAAAAUAUAACUAAAAGCCUUUUUGUGUGACAAUUUACUCUCAAAGGUUACGCCAGCAAUUUGUUUGAUAAAUGCCAACUUGGUUCAAGAGAAAUGCCAAGGUGAGUCGCAUGGUGUGUAAACUGAUUCUCAAUUUUCACUCGUUGAUGCUUACAUCUACAUUAAUGUAUCAGUACACAUGUUCGUACUGGGUCACUUAUGGGUUGUGCUAGCAUAAAUAAACAACAAACUUCACAUCAAACCAUAUUGAGCUUCCAAAUGAUAAUUGCAGCAAAUUUCAGUUGCCAGCAUACCUCAAAAUGCCAUUUGAGGGAUCAUUACUUCAAGUAAUCUGUCUGAGGCAUGUUAGUACCAAAAACCAUUUUAUAAGUCUCUACCUGAUUUUUUCCCCCUUUGCAUAUUUUGUGUGUCCGUUAAAAUUUAGAGAAGAUUAUCAUGGUUGAAUCGUUAAUAGCUCCUAGAUAAACAUAUACAACUACACAAGUCUCAUAGAUUUAUAUGACAAAUUAUGAUAAUAUAAUUAUUCAAGUCGACAGACAAGAAGUCAGUAGCCAGCGGGAAGGAUAUAGGCCUAAUAAUCUAUCAGGAUUCAGGGUGGUACAGGUCUAUUUAGGGUAGGGCAAACUGCAGAGUCAAGGGAGGACCGAAGCAGCAGCACCAGCAGAAGCACAGUCAAAAAAAAUAGGGACAAUGAUAGCUUAUGGAAUAUCUCUUGUUGGGUCCAUUUCCACCUUCACCUUGUCUCUCUGCCCUCAGCCCUAGCCCCUAGGUGCUCUGGCUCAGAGGAGAUGACGAACAUGCCCCCCAUCUGCAUGCAGAUUCAUACAUUGCACUCAUGUUUCUUUUCUGGGAGUAAGGAGUAUUAUGAUCCUUCAUUAAAGGUUUAAGCAUUAUGAUCCUUCAUUCUAAGCAUUAUGAUCCUCCACGAGAAGCUUAAUCACCUUGAGAGUUCUGACACUAAGCUAAAGGUGCUUCACAUCAGAAAGAGCUAGCGUUGUAUGUGUAAAGCACACCGAGGUCAGAGAGAGAGAGAGAGCAGCUCACUGUUUUGCUUCAUAGAUAAUUUUAAAGUGCUCCACAAUCUUAAAAUGGUCGACCAUAGCAUAAAGCCAUAAAGUAAGAAGCAAGUUGCAACGGUUCUCUCUCUCUAUCUGCAUGGGAUGUCUCUUAAAGUCCUACACAAGUAACCCCAAACACUUGCAGCUUACUCGGAUUGUACCAGACCUCAUCGUAGUUUGAUAAUUUGAUUGUAUAGUGGUGUUCACAUGGUGACCGAUCAUGAUCGAUUACCGUUGUAUUUAAAUUUAAAGAUAAAAAUAUAAUUUUAAAGUUAACUUAUUUUAUUUUUUAUUUUUAAAUUUACAUCCAACCAAGGUGAUUAACCAUAAACUCGGAAGAGCUAUACCACUCUCGAAUGAAACCAACCGUACGUGCUAGAACUUACAUUCAACUACUCUAUUGAUUGAGAAGAGACUAGCUCACAGAGUUGCACCAUUGAUAGGAGGAACAGGAGCCGUUGAUUUUCAGUGCUAGCUGGCUGUCAAGUGACUUCUGGAAGCUCGAUCAAUGAUGAUGGAGUUUGAACGAAAAUUUUAGUCAACGCAUGUUUGGUCCUUUCAACUGGGUUCCUGCAGAGAGUAAAUGAGCAUCUCUGAAUAAUGAUAGUGAAGGCUUCUAUUUCACGUUCGUCAAUCUUAUCUACCUUCUGCAAAAGUAGUGUUGAGAAGGAGAGAGGACUCUGAUAGAAAGAAACAAGCCCCUUCAACCAAAGCGAGAUUCUAGCUGUAAGAAUCACAGUGCCGAUCGAUGCAUAUAGAGAUAAAAGAGAAAAGAGGUUCGCAUUUUAAUUUCAAAACAAAACUUAAUUUUCUCUGGAUGAUAAAGGAACUGUGAGUUUGUUCUACUCGAUCAUUUUGAAAACAUUCAAACUUCCAAGGGGGUUACUCAGUGCUUUGUCGGUUUGUCCUGAUCGAAAAUCUGAUAUUCUGGGGGAACUGUAAGAAAGUUUCCAAAGCUGAAUUACAGCAGUAGGUAUCCAUCUCCAUAUCCAUUGACUAAUUAACCUUAACAACAGUAAAACUGAUCAUUUCUCAUGGCAUUGCGACAGAACUCACAGAUGUUGACUGCCAAUUAUUACGAACAGAGCGAUUAAUCCAAGUAACUUUGAAGUGAAUUCAGUUGAGGAAGCAAAGCUGAAUUGGCCCCUAGGUCCCCUCUGUGAUUAGGGGCCGGCCGGGUACGGUAAGCUCUAAGAUAGUUCAAUCAGGUUGAGCACGAGCCCUAUAGUUCAUUGGUGUGAUUUCAUUUCAUUAUCAGUUUGAUCAUAGAGACUUUAGAAAAAAAAAAAAAAAAAAAAACGCUUUGAUCAUAGAGACUUGGUUUCAGAGUUUCAGGUGGGCUGGAAGUGGGAGGUGGGGUUGGUUAUGACACAAGUUAGAUAACCCUAACUAAUAAACAUACAGGUUUCUAUGAGUUUCACGCAUGACCCAAGUCACCCAACAAGGCAACAACAAUUAUAAUCAAGGCGAUCAAUUAUUAGUCUUAGAAUUUGCUCGGACCUGGAUCUACACGAGGCUGGAGAGAUGUUUAUCAGUUCCCGAGUGUCGACUCAUAUUUAGAGUUUUUAUUGAAUCUCUUUAAAAUAUCUAAAUUAAGAAAUAUCUUAAAUCCAAAUUACAGAAAACAACAAAGAAAUAUCCCGCAAUAAUGUCGAGGCUGGAGAGAUGUUUAUUAGUUCCCGAGUGUCGACUCAUAUUUGGAGUUUUUAUUGAAUCUUUUUAAAGUAUCUAAAUUAAGAAAUGUCUUAAAUCCGAAUUACAGAAAACAACAAAAAAAUAUCCCUAAACAACAAAGAAAUGUCCCGCAAUAAUAGCAGAAAUCCUUACCAAAGUAAUGUAUUAAAAAAUACACCGAAUAACUUACUUUAGUAACUAAGUAAUGAAUCGAUUUUUUGAAAUGUGAUACUAGUAAUGACCCAAUUUUUGAAUUUUAGUAACAUAUAACGUACCAUAUAUGUUCACAUUGGAACCCUCAUUCAAAGACUAUAAAACUGCUUCCUGCAUGGUACUCCAUGACUUCGGCCAUGGGAAGUGUUCCUUAUUGUGUUCUUUCUUUAUUGGAUUUAAUUCACAACCUUCCAAUUUUCUGAUGAAAUAGAAGAAUAAAUAUGAAUCUUUCUGCAAGACCAGAAAAACAACAUAUGGUAUUUAGUCUAGUAUUACAAGUAUUUUGUUGAAUCCUGUCGCAAUAUGUAUAUUCUCAUGCAUUAUUGACGUCUCUCUUGAAAUGAAAAACCAACAAGCUAGCUAGAACAGCAUAUGACAUCUUCAUCAAAGAAAUCAACAACAUACUGUAUAUAUGACAUGAAACAGAUAUUAUCUAGAAAAAAAAAAAAAAAAAAAAAAAAAAAAAUUGGUUUCUAUUUCUUUUUUUUCUUUUUUUUUUUGUUACAGGUUUUCUGUUUCUUUUUGUUGCAUUGUAUUACAUUGUUCAUGCAUAAUUACAUGUCCAAAACUAUGAACAGAGUAGCUAGCUGAAAGUUUAAAUGUUCACUCGAUUAAUCAUGGAAUUUAAUAUUUAUAUUCUCCACCUAUAUACCUCAAGAUUAAUUAGGUAUACUCGAUCAGAUAAUGUUGGAUGAUUGUCGACACCAAGAUAUAUGUUUCUGUUUUGUGCAUGGUAGUGAUGCCAGGUGUAAUAACCCCAAGUAGCCAGAAUGCAUGCCGAUGUGCGCCUAGGUUGGUUGGUAGCUGGGUUCCUGCAUUGUAAUAGUAACCCAGAAUAGAAUGUGACACAGCGCGCCAUGUGCUUCACCUGACUACACCAACCCAAUAAUGGAGAUAUUUGAUUCUCAUCACAUCCUAAAAGCCAUACACUACUUAAUUAAUCACAACACACUGCAUGUGUUCUUGUGUGUAUAUACAAGCAGGAACUUCUUAUAUAUGAGCGUUGGUAUGCUUAAUUCUCAAAGGUAAAAUAGGCCUAAGGUUAAAUGUUCAAUACAAUUUUGUAAAAACCAAAUUAACUUGUAACACAUGUUUCAUGUUGCUGAGACAUGCACGAGACUUCUACAUUACAGAUGAUAAUGGUCGACGAUUUCAUCCACGAAAUAUUUAUCGGUGCAUUUUUAUCGAUCUUUGUUUGGAAUUGAAAUUCUCACUCCUCAUUUUGUAAUUCACACUCUUUAUUUUUUUUUUAGUAACUUACAUUUUGUCUUUUUUUAUAAACAUUUCAACCCAAUAUAAAAAAACCUAAGAGAAAAAGAACACGCUUGUACUUCAGCCUCUUUUUUUCGAGUAAGACUAUGGUGUGUUAAUGCAUGACAUGUAUCAACUUUGUCUUAAAAUUGUAAAAUGAGUCCCCUGAGUAGUAAUAUUAGUCCUUAAAAUUGUAACAUGAGUCCUUAAAGUUGUAAAUUUUCAAUUACAUGACUUACAUCAUUAGUCCUUAAAAUGGUAAAAUGUGUGCGUAAAAUAGAAAUUAAGUCCUGAAACUAAUAUUUACAACUCAUAUUAACAUUUUAAAAACUAAUAUUACUAUUUUAAAGAAUCAUGUGGUAACUAAUAAUAUUAACAACUUUAAGGACUAAUAUUACUAUUUUGAUAACUAAUAUUAUACUUUGAUGACUCAAUUUACAACUUUAAGAUAAAGUUGAUCGAAUUGGACGGGAUGCGCUUUGUUUACCAAAUUUUUGUUUAUACUUUAGUUAAUUUAUAGUUUCACAUGUAAUCUAACCAUGCUUUCCUCAUUUAGUGAGACUCUCGAUCCCUAUCUCCUAAAACCUAAAAUAAUGUCUCGUGUAGUUGUGUGAAUUGCUUCAUUGUAUACCGGGAUUCCAAAAGGCAGAAAAAGGCUAAAAAGGCAUACGGCAUACCUAGUGAAAAGGAGGUAAGGGAUGGAGGAGGUCAGGAGGCUAAAAGCAAACGAGGCUAAGAAAAGAAAUGCAAUAAUGUAAGGGUGACUGACAAGGAUCUUGUUGCCAAAACAAAAAGAUUCGAAAGUAGUAAGGCUCAGUUGUAGUGCAGCAUGUGGAAGCAGCUCAGAUGCCUCAGAAGUGCUCAGCCUCAGCCUCAGCCUCUGCCUCGGGUUUCAUGUCAUCUUGUGUGUGCUUCUAUGCUACGCUGCUGCAAAGAGCAACCCAAACCAGCUCACCCCGCGGCCAGAUGGAGAUCCUGGACAAGCUAGUAAUCUCAUUCCUUCAAAUCGACCAAUCAAAUAUGGUUCUGUCGACGUUUAAAAUGUUGGCCACCUCCAGAGCUUGUUAGUGUUGGAAGCAAAUUUGCUCCCCACCCAUUCAUCCCCACCCUUUUCCCCACCCUUUUAGAUGAAUGCCAAGUGUCCUUUAUGUUUAAUUACUUUAACUAAAAUGGUGAAAAUAGACACUUGGCAUUCAUCUAAAAGGGUGGGGAGGAGGGUGGGGAUGAAAGGGUGGGGAGCAAAUUUGCUUCCGUUAGUGUUCUUGUAUUGGGGGAUGUAUGAACACGGCUAUAUGGGAGGAGUGUGGAGAAAUGACAUGUUUGUUGGAGGCAAUUUCAGAGACUGCAUGUAAGACCUACUUGUAAACUGUCAUGAUUCAGUGAGCUGUUAAUUUGUUAUUUUUAAUAGGUGAAACUUGAAAGUAAAGUCAAUCGAGAGAGCAGGUAACAGAGAAGUGACGAGACGGGCAAGUGUAAGAAUCAAUUUGAUAGAUCACAAGAACUAUAGCGCCUUUGAACAUAACUCGCCAUGUUAGGUCUUGUUGGGUUCGCAGCAACUAAGAUAGUUUGUUUGUUUUUUUAUUUUCCAUCUCUUUAUUUUCUCGUAGGAAAGACAAAGAAAUUAGUUUGAUUUCUGCAAAUCAAACGAGACAUUAGAGUAUGGAAAGAACCAUUUUAUUUUGCUUCACUUAAGUAUUUCAUUUUUUAUUUUAUUUCUGUAUCUCAAACGCAAGAAAUAAUGAACAAUCUUACUAAUCUAGCUAUUACUUUAGGCGAACAAAAGUUGUUAUUUCUCUUUCGCACAAGAAAUAAUGAACAACCUUAUUUUUCUGUCUAUUACUUCAAGUAAGAGCAUCUUCAAUCUUUGGUCUAAAACUUUUAGGUAUUGUAAAAUUUUAUCUCUAACCCACUCUCUAAGUUGAGCUCAAAUAUAAUUUACCUAAAAUAUAUCAUAUUUUGACUAAACCAAAUAGGACCAAACCUAUAAUUUAUGAGAGUGAACGAGUGUGGGUCUCUUGUCAGAUUUUAUUAAUAUGCAAUAUGACUAUUUGAUAAAAUAUAAUUAAAAUGAUUAAUUAUUAAAAUAGAUUUGGGUUUCACUCCAUGUGUGAUUAAAUGAUAAUAUAAAACGAUUAAUUAUAUUUGAGUUUUGUUUCAAUAAAUUAGAUAUACAAAACCUAUAUGAAUAUUUUAGAUAUGGGUGACCUAAAAUUUGAAUAUAAAUUUAAGUUUUAGAUCAAUUAUUGGAGAUGCCCUAAGAGAACAAAAGUUGUUCUUUUCUGUUUCUCUUCACUUCUUUUUGCAUCUCAAACAUAAGAAAUAAUGAAUAAUUACUUUGCUCACUCUUACUUUAAAGUGAACCAAACGAGACCUUAAAGUUGUUUUAUUUUGCUCACUCAUACUUUAAAUGAAUCAAGUGAACCAAACAAGACCUUAGAUCGAGUUGCUCUUCCUUUCCCUCACUCGACAUAUAUAUUUAUAGUCAGGGAUUGCCCAUUUGCCCAACCUAAAACCUUGAUCAAUGUGUUCACUUGCACCGCCUUCUCAUCACAAGCUUCCUUCAAAACAAAUCUUCUGCAUGACUAGAAAUUAAUGUGUAGAAAGCCUUCCUUAUCGAUUUGAUAAUUCGAUAGGUGAACCAAGAAAUCACAUGGGCUAGAAUCUUAACACCGUCCAUCUUACGCAUUAAGACAGAAGUUUCAAACAUGCAAUUAUUACCGUACAUGCAUGAACCUUUCUUUUUUUUUGAAUAGUGCAUGAACUAUUUUUCACCACCUUAAGUGUCAUAUAUUGUAUGCAUGUCAUAUAUCGAUGCAUAUUUUUAAGCUUGCAUGGCCGAAAUUUGAAGUUACUUUGAUGGAAAAUGAAAAUGGAAAUGAAACUUACAGCUGGUGUUGGAGACGUGGGGUCUGUGGAACCCAUUGCCCAUCUGCUCUUCUGGGAAAGAAUCGGAGCUGCUCUGUCUUCUGUGCUUCCUCAACCACCAUUGUUUCUUCGAUUAAGAGCUAGCUGCUGCUUUCUCUGCCAUGCCGGCCUGAGCCAUCAUCAAACCUUUACACCAGUUGGAGUUGGUCAAAACCGUUGCCGAAAACGAAAGCAAGUCUUGAAAAUGAACCUCUUUUCCUCAUUUGGCUUUGCUGCUGCUUCCCAACGAACUUCUCUGGGUCGAUCAUUAUGAAUUCUUCUGUAUCCAAUAUCAACUCAUUUCUUUGGACUUAGUAUGAUACUGAGGUAAAUUAGUUUAAUCUCAACCUAGUUUAUCUUUGAAUGAAAAUAAUCUGCUUGAUGUACAUAUAUUCAUGACUUUCACAGACAAGAAAACUAAUUAAUAAGAUUUUUCGACAUAGGUUUUGGAAGUACGUACUUAUGUCCCUGUACUUAUCCAUGAACUUAAUAAAGGCUCCAUACAUUUCCAAAAUCAUUGCAAACAGAAACAAAAAUGAAUGGGGAUCAAUUUGACCAGUCCAGAACUAAACAGUAGAAGAAUCUUGAUAGCUUAAUUUUUCUCAAAGAAGCAAAUGAACUUAUUGUAUAUACCGCAGCAAGAGAUUCAUUGCCUUAGCUCACAUACAAAAUUGGUAGGGCUGAGAGCCUAUAAACCCUUCAGAUAAUUAGAUAAUACUCUAGCUCUCUGCAGCCACCUAAAGCAAGCAAUGGAAAUGCUCCCAUGCACAUUACCCCGUAAUUAACACUCACUAAUACAAACAAUAACAUUACACAGAGAUUAAAGCUAUAUUAACCGUGGAUCAACCUUAGUAUUAGUACUUAGCUAAUAACAUAUUUCAAUAGGAUGGUGCCGAUAAUUGAAGCCCUACAACCAUUUAUUAUUAAUUAUUACUGCUUGACUACUUCCAUAGUUGUUUGUUCACUUAAGAAAGAGGAGCCCUCUGAGGAGCACCCUUUCUCCUGCUGCUGAGGGAGAGCAUGAUCCCUGGGAGUAUCCCUUUCUUCUUCUUCUUGAAGACGACCUCUGGUUCACGUGACAUUACUGAAUCGCUGUUGGAGCAUGAAGAGCCUCUGUACUGCAUUUCAGGAUCCUCUAGGAUAGAGCUAGGCAUCCUUUGGUCAUCGUCAUCGGUCACCUCCGAGCCAUCCAUCCGUAGUCCCUCGAAUUGAGAGAUUGUGAAGUCAGAUUCAUCAAAAUUGUAGAGUAUGCCGGAUAAAUCUUCCUCUUGGAGCACCAAGUGAUCGACCUUCAUAGGUUCACAUGUCAAUCUACGUUAGCGAACCACAUUAUGUGACGGUUGAUGUGUCGAUCAUAAACAUAAGAAAUCUUACAAGCAUUGCAAAUUAAUCAUAGCAAUACUACAUUAGCGAAACCAGAUGAUGUGCCAAGAUUUGUGUCAAUUAUCAACUAGCAACGAAUCUUAAGAGGAUUUAGCUAUGAUAAUUGUAGGACAAGUGUGUCAGAAAAUGUGAAAAACUCUUGAAAUAAGCAAUUGGACAAUGAGAAUUGAUAUGGACCUUGCAUGAGAGAGAACAAAAGCGGAAUGGCUCUUGGAGAAUCCUGUCACAAGUGUAACAGAUAUUGGCAGCAAACCCUUUGUUGCAAUUAGUCCUGGAAAGUGGCCUCGACUGUGGCCUCUGGUUCAAGAAUAUUACUUUGGCACCGUUAUUGGAAUAGGGCUGCAGUAAGUGCAUCCAAACAAUGAAUACAAUAUAACAUAAUGGUUAACAGAGUUGAGAAACAAAAAAACACAGCAACUUGUGAGUUGGGGAGUGACCCAGUUCAUACUUCUUUCACUAUCAUGAACACAAAACAAGAAGACAAGCCUACCAAACAUAAACUAUGUAAUGUUCAAGAUUUUGUAACCAUUAUAUUUACUUAUAUAAAGUUUAACACUCAAAAACUCCAAAAACCUCAAUAUACCUGAAUAUAGGAACAGUCAAUGAGCUUCUCAAGAUCACCCAAUCUAACCACAUCAUGGUACACAUAUCUUCUAACCUGUCAUAUGGAGUCAAAAAGAACAUGUCAAUUGGACUUGUUCGGCCAGAAUUGUGAUUCCAGGACAACCUAUUUGGGAUUUACCAAAGAGUUAACUGAACCAUUUUGUAACCCAAUUGGGAUUUACCCCACACGAUUGAAAUAUGCAUAUGACAUCAAAUUAAGAUCAUUAACAGUAAACUUAGGUAACUUUCAAGUUCAAAUUCAUCAGUCUCAUAGAGAACUAAAAGUUAUUACCUCACCAGGAAACUAGUUUGAAAUUUAGGUGAAAUUGGCAGAGGCAACCAACCUUUCAUGAAAAAAAACCAACCUUUCAUGAAAGAACAAAAAUAAAUGUACUGGGGUGAAUUCAUUUAUGAAAUUAGAGAAAACUAGUCAAAGUUCACUUUCAUUGACAGCAACAGCUGAGAGGAACUUUUGCAGGGUGCAAAUGGAGAAAAGGAAAUCUCCUAUUGAUAAGGGAAAAUAAAACAAAUUGAAAAGAGUGGGAUACAGAGAAGUCAUAAUGAAACCUUUUUGGAACAUCACUCUUAUCAAAAAUUGAAAGAAAUUGCAUGGAAGCAGAAUAGUAAAUGAGACAUAAUUGAAGGAUUCAAAAGUUCAACAAGAAUUAUCUUCUUCUUUUUGUUUCUUUGGCAAAAAUCAAGAUCAGAAAGCACAGAAGUUUCUGAAGAAGUAGACAGUAGAAGAUUUAGUAAAAGUUGGGAAACUGGUAUAAUUUCAUUCUGGACUGUGAAUUACAACAUUUGAGCUAAAAGUUUGCAGAAAAGGUAUCAUAGAGAAGUAAGAGAACCACACAAAGUAAAAUCAAGAUAUAAGUUGGGAGGACCUGAACUAAUCCAAUUCCUGGAGACUAAAAAAGAAAAUAAGAGAAAGAACCAUAAGAAUGAAGUUCAUGGUUAGAAUUCACAAGCAAAUGAACUCUUUAGUGAAAAUUCACCCAGAUUGUGCAAGUACUCAAAGAAAGACAAAAACCAGGACUUCUUUUUCUUCCCAAACAAAAAAGUACAACAAAAAUUGAACCAAAGUUGCAGAGCUGCACAUGAAUUCAACCAGUAGCAGAUGGGAAGAGAAUUCUACAGUGGAAUUGCAGAAGAACUUUGAACUGCACACAGAAAAGUACACAGUAGAAAAAUCCAAAAGCAAAGUUUCCAGACACUCACCAAGAACUAAGUUGAAAUCACCAGCAAGAACCAAAAUUGUGUGAACUGAAAAGGGUAGCAAAAAUUGAACACACAUCGAUGAAAUGACUCCAAUUGUUGAUGAUUUAGUGUACCUGAAGUAGAGGAUGAGAGCGAUGAGAGUGAAGGCAGUGUGGGCAAAUAGAGAGGCAACAGUGCAAACAGAAGACGUUCUUCUCGCUCUUCCUGCGGUUCUCGUGGACCCCACAACCACCAAAGAAUGUCUCCCCCAUCAAACCUUGUAGCCAUGCAGGCUUCAUGUGAUUCAUUUCAUCAUCCUCCAUACAUGUUGUGGAUGAAGAAGCAGAGACAUCUACUCUCUGAUGAUGACGAUGAUGUCUCACCAUAAUUCAAUUGAGAUUCUUCUCUCACUGUCUUGAAAGAAAGACUCAAAGAGUGAGUGGUGUUGGUGUCUGAGCUCAAAAGGGGUAUUUAAGCUAUGGCCACCCAAUAACAAAUUUGAUUUCUUUUUGGUUUUCCCAAGUGGGUUUGAAAAACCCUAACCAAAACUUGGUCUUUUAUAGUAGGGGAGGUUCCAGAACUGUUGUCGUUUACAGAGAGAGAAGGUUUUAUUUGAGAAAUAAUGAAGAAAACCCAGAAAGAGAAAACAUUUUUCCAAUAGAGAGAGAGAGAGAGAAAGAGAGAGAGAGUGGUGAGUUUUGGUGUAGUGUAGAGUAGUGUAGGGUGGUGGGAGUGAAGUUAAAGGCGGGAAGACAGCCCACCAAUAUGUACUGCUUCUUCUGCAGUACUACUAAGUAUUAACUCACUCACCGAAUUUGCAUACUACAGAAUUCCAACUCCUGCUUAUUGCUACUACAAUUCACCCUUUGAUUUGCUUAAUUUGUUUGAAGGGUGUUACUGGUUUUAUUUUUUUUUUGGCCAGUUGUGUUAAACAAGCUUUCAUAUCAAAAAAGAAGAAUGUGUUAAACAAGCUUUCAUAUUUCAUUACUCCUUACGUUUGUGUCAAAUAGUGGCCAUCUAUCAAGUCAAGUCAGGUUUAUUGUCCAAGCUUAUGCGGUAAGUUUUGAUUUCCAACAGUAAAAUGCACUGUUAAGUUUAUGCAGCAAGCUUCUUCUUUUUUUCCUGAAUUUUCAGACCAAAUAUACAUCUUGUGCAGUAAGUUUUAUUACCUACGCAGUAGCAAAUAGUCCUCAAAUCACUCCUCUUAUCCUAAUAAAAAUAAAUAAAUAAAUAAAUCACUCUCAUAUGUGAAUAGUCGACUUCUGGAGUAGAGUGAUAACAAUCAUAAAAGCAAAGCUAUUGUUACAUUAUUUCCUUUUUCUUUUGGUCUGACAGAUGCAUAACGUUGGAACCAUGAAGUUUGUUCUAUUAGGUUUUAAUUAUGCUGGGGUUCCCCAUCUUUCUUCACCAGAAAAACACACAAAUCUUUCUUAUAUAAACAAGAUGCACGCAAUUACUGUAUGUAUUUGUGUAUCAAGUAGUUUCAGUUUACUAACACUACAUCAUUGAGAAAGAGCAUAUAAAUCCUCCUGUUCAUGAAACUAAUAUAGGAGAUUGACAACAGGAAGAAGAAGGAAAACCUCCAAAAUUAAGGACCCAAAGAUUAUAUACAUAGUCUAAUCACUCUAAUGAAGAAACCAGAGAAUAAGAAGAAGAAGAAGGAUAGGUACUCUCUUAGGUGAGUCUCUCUCUUUGAAAGUAUGACUGUAUGAUUAUCAAUAAGAACAUAGCCCUGGGUUGGUUUGUCUCUUUUAGCUGUUGGUACAAUCGCACUACCUCGGUUAAAAACCCUUUGGCGUAUGACCUACAGGUCCUUUACUUGUAUUCAUGCCUACUUGGUGUCCUUUUUUCUCAUUUUUAUUUUCAUGCAAUAAUUUUAUGAAUUAUACUAUUUUUCAUGCAUAUACCUUCAUACUUGAUCUGUCUAUUUUCUAGAUAUAAAUAAUUCAUCGAAUUACUCGAAGAAAUAUUUUGUAUGGUAUUGGAUGACUCAAAAACACCUAAUUGUAGUCAUCUUUGUCUACUAAUUUUGGGAGGUGCGUCCUAUUUUGGAACUUACCCAGAUGCUCUAAAUCAUGCUGUGUUUAUACUGUUUGCAAUGCUAACUAAACCUAGCAGUCAGCAGUGAUGGGUUUACAGGUGCGGAGGUCUCACUGAGGGAGAACAGUCUCAGUUAAUCAAAGCGCUAGGUUACCAAGUUAUAUACCGCUCUGAAUUCUGAAAAUUCUUUUAUGCACCGACUAAGGUGACCUUUUAAAGUUUGAAUCCACUCUCUUUGAAUCAUCAUAGGAUAGUUCGAUUAGUUUCAAACAUAAAUAUUCUACUAAGAUCAAAAUUUGAACCUCUUGGUUUCUUUUACAUGUUUUUCUGUUAGAAAAAACGUAAAAUUGGUUUUGAUCCGGUGAACACUGAGCAAAAUUUUGAGCAGAUAUUGAUGAGUGUUCAUGUAAAAGGAACAAAACAAAGGGAAUGUGCCUUCAUUCUGGAAUUCAUCUGAAGGAAGAUUAUUAGACUAAGCAUAGAUGCACGUGGAAAUGGAACGGACAAUUAGCUUUCCAAAAUAUUCCCUAAAAUAGUUAGGUUAAAGAUCUAAGAACAACACCUUUUAGGUAAGUAUAUAAUUAUUUGGAAUAACUAGGUUCAUUCUCCUUCAAACAAAUGAAACAAUAUUAUUUCAUGGUCACAAUUGGGCAUGUCAUGGUGGCUUAGGAUUCCAAUUGUUGUCAUGUUACUAUCUUAUGCGUUUCUUAAGUUGUUUUCAUGUCGUAUGUGUAUCGAGCAUUUAUUAUGCACCUGGUCUGGUGGUUCUUAAACAUGAUGUUGAAUCGGGUGGUUUGGCACAUUUGAUUGUUAGUGUUUAGCGUGUAUCGUUUCUCUCAUAUUUGCGUAGCUCGUAGUUUUUAUGUAAAAUUAGGCUAGAGGUUAAGCUGUUUUAGUUGAUGGAUGUUGUUCUUGACGACCGACCCGUAACUACAUAUUUUGAGGAAAUGUGCUACUUUUAGUCAUUCUAAUGCGUUGUGAUUCUUUUGAUCAUUAACAGAUGUUACUUUUCCUCAAAAUAUAAAAAUUAAAAACAAAAACAUUCUAUUAUGAAACUUAUUUGUUAUUUACUUUUGAGAUCACCGUUACUUCAUUUUUUGUAUUGGAAGAUGUUGAACCUCUGACUUCCUCGUGCUAACUCAAUUCCUCAUUGAUCUCUCACCACACCACUCAUGCGUACCCAAAUUCUAAUUACGGUGUGUAAAUCAGCUGGAUAAUACGUUUUGAGUUUGACCCAUGUUCAUAGGAGAGAUGAGCUACGUAGGCUUGAUAAUAACAAAUCAUCAAUUAAUGAGAGAGAGCCCCAAGGCCCCAAGUAUGGGCCGAGAAGACUAUUGUCUUUCAAACUUAGAUACCAUGUUUAGAUUCUAAAGCAUUUAUUCUCAAAUAAAAAAAAUAAAAAAUAAAAAAAUCCAUUGUACAGGUUCAGAAUUCAUAUGGUUUCAAGAUUUAACACACUAAAAUCCUGGUGGGUCAACAAAGACAAGCCAAUGUGGAGAAGAGGCUUGUUAUCAGCUUCUUGUACAGUGCUUUCAUAUUACAUCUUAUGCGGGCAGCUCCACUUAAACUCGCCUUGUUUUGCUUCUCUCUAUGUUCACAAGUCCGGCCUGCAACAUAACAUAAUUACGGCCGUAAUUCAGAUGAUACGACCGAAGGUAAAAAUUAUACAUUCAUGUAUUAGACUGUGAAGUGGAAGGGGCUGAGGGGGUGCGAAAAACAGCAUCACCGGCUUUGAACACCUCUAUUAACUCACUACAUAAAUUUAAGUGAAAAAGACUUGUAGAUUCACAAACGUGUCCCAGGAUCCAAAUAUUGGCUUCUCAAUGGAACCUAGUUAAACAACUUAAGCAAUAGAACAUGAGUCACCUAAUUUAAUGCCAUCAGAGUUCCUAACAGUAUACACACCCCCAUCACAUGUUUUCCUUUCUGUCAUUUCUCUUCGCACAAUAUUUCUAGGUACAGCAUUCAAUUGUUCAGUAUAGGUCACUGAGAAAUAAGGUUAUAACUGCAUUGAAAAUACGUAGGAUAUCUAAGAGAGCCUUUUCCUUGGUCCAAAUGUAAAGCACGAAACCAUAUAAUAGAUGGGUAAAGACUUACUUGUAUAGCUUUGCAUAGGUAUCUUUCAAGCGUGUAGCAUCAGCACCAACAAAUUCAUCUGCCUUUUCUCCAUUCUGAAAGAAGUGGAAUGUUGGCUGCAGCAAAAUGCACACAUCAGCAAAGACAAUUUCUCUUUUCUUGAUAAAAAAAAAGGGUAAAAUAUUGUAUAGUACUUGUGGUUUGAAGUCGCCAUCUGUUUAGUCCUUGUGGUUUUAUUUUAAUUUGAAUGGUCCUUAAAGUCAUAAUUUUUCAUCCAAAUGGUCCUAGCCCACGUCAGCAAUUUAACUGAGAAAGUUGACGAAAUGACCAUUUAGAUGAAAAAUUGUGACUUUAAGGACCAUUCAGAUUAAAAUAAAACCACAAUGACUAAACAGAUGUCGACUUCAGACCACAAGGACUAAACAAAUUUCAAUUCUAAAAAAAAUACAUACAUACAUACAUAAAACAACUGUUUAGCACCUUCUAUAAACAUUACGUGACAUGUGAGUGUUCUAAAUUCACAAUGCCAUAUGUCAUAUGGCAGUCAUAUGGCACAUCUAAUAUCUACUUGCAGGGAAAUUGAGAAAGCUACGGCAGAAGUAAAACAGUAAAUACAAUGAUACAAUAUACUGAACAUCCCUAUUACGGUUAUAAGUAAUGAACAUCGGAGUACUGACAAAGAAUCUAUUUUUAACAGCCCAGUGCAAAAAGAGCUAGCCACCACUGCACAUGAGUUGUUUGAUCACAGAGCAAAAUAUGGACAUUUACAUUCAAAAACAUCAGAGGAUCAGCAAUUUACCACAGAGGAAAUAUUCAACUUGCCCAAUGCGCUUCCAAGGCCCUCCUACAGAGAGAACAGAUUAGUUUUACAAAAUUUGAGGUACAACAAGAAAUAAUACAAUAACAGAAAAAAAAUUAAAAUAUAAUAACAGAUUCUUUUAUAAGAAUCUGCAUAUGGGAAAAAAAAAAUCACAGAAAAAAAAGAAAGUUACUUCAGACAAGCAUAGAAGAAACUUCCAAGCCUUCCAAAUAAAUGAAACUGAAUGUAUAUGCAAAUGCAAAAAUAGGUCACAGACCAUGUCAACUGGUGUUUAAUUUAAGCUAAACCUACAUUGUAUCAAGAAUUUAAAGGUUUAAAAUAUAUCAUGUAAAGUCUGCAGUAAAACUUUAAUGGGAUAGAAUGCUGCGCUAGUAGCACUGACUGAUGACUUGACACCAAGAGAACUUUCUCAGGAUCAUAAACUGUCAUUAGGUUUCUAUUCAGAAAAAUUUUUCUCUAUAAUUACUGAAGUAAAAGGCAACUUGCUUUCAUACUGUCACUUCCCAAAAAAACUUCAAAGCAUCAGCCGAGAUAGUCUCUGCUUAUCGGCUUAUGUAUAUAUAUCUCAAGUAUAUGAUUGCAUCCAGCCAAGACAGUCUCCUAUUCAGUAUACGACCUCAUAUCAGCAAUUAUAGUAUACCACCAUGGCCUAUUGCAUUAAUAAUUCACAUCUUCAUUUUCUUAUGUAACUUGCGCACUAUUUUAUUAAAGCACACAACCCAAACUCCAAGUUCCUCUAUACGCUAACUUAUAAACCCAAAGCAUUCUGAACUCAGUUUUGGUAUUUCUAAAAGGCAAUGAAUGUUUGACAUGAGUACUAUCAUAUGAAAUUAAAUACUAUUUUACCUCUUUCACUCACCUAUACAUCACAACCCUGUAACCAAAAUCGUUCUUGCAAACCAGAAAGAGAGACUAAAAUGCAACCUAGUUAAGCUACUACCGCAUACCUAGAAUUCAAAACAAACUAAACACAGUAAAUUAUCAUUCUUAAGAACCAUAACAAGAUAUGAGCUAGCUUUCAUAGUCAACAACAAAACCAGGUCUUUCGACCUUAAUCAAAAUUCAAACAAUGUACAACUACACACACCUGAUCAAUGUCAAUCUUAAAUGUGGUCACAUGUGGGUAUUUCUCACUCAACUCCCCAAUUACAGGAGCUAUGAACCUGCCUGCAAACAACAUAAAAACCACAAAAAAGUUUGCUAACACCUCUCAAAUGGUAAAAAAGUAAAACUCUUUUACAACUUACAAGGACCACACCACACUGCAGUGAAGUAAAACAUCGCUGGCAGAGAAUCACCUAUCACAACACAAACAAAAGAUCAAAACUUUGGAUCAAAGUUACAACCUUUUUAAAAUUCAGAGAGGUAAAUAAAAUUUACCUUCAGCUUUGCUGAGUGCGCUGUUCAACUCAUCCUCAGACUUGAUGGUUAUAACGUUUGAGGGGGCAGCUGGGGAAGAUGAGAAGGAUCGAAAGGGUGAGAAAUUGGAGAAGGGUUUUGGGUUGGGAGGAGGAGUUGGGUUUGGUGAAGAUUGGGGGUUUGAGAAUGAAGAGAGGAUUCGGAUUGAAUAGGAAGGGAGGUUGUUAUGGUGAGGAAGAAGAGCAGCGCAGAGGUUGCUGCGAUUGGCAAGCAAUUGCCGCACUAGGAGAAGCCCUGGGUUUUUUGACGCCAUUGUUGUGUAUCGGUCUGCUGCUUCCAUAUGUGUAGGAGGGUUUAAGGAGAAGAAGAAGAAGAAAGCGGGCCUUUAUGACCAAGUAGAAGAGCCCAGAAGUAUUGGGCUAUCAAGAACUUUGAGUUUCUUUUGGUUUGGUAAGGUUCUUUUUUUUUUCCUCAUGAAAUUGUUGAAUACAAAAAGGCGACAUUGAGCCACAAAACGUGAUUACAAUAAGAAUCACGAGAUAUCAGGAAUCUAUACAAAAGACAUGUACUACAUCAAACAUCAACUAGAAAAGAGUGUUAUAUUGGCUACUCCAUUUGUUUUAACAUAACGGUGACACGAUAGAAAAAUCAGUUCAUAUUUAACAUGAUUACAUAUCUAAAUGCAUAAUAACCAGUUUUCCAACUAUGUUGCAGCCAUAAGAUAGAUCCGACGACACUUAGCUUCAGCCUACUGCUAGGCAACAACGAUUAUUUGAUAAAGUAAGGAACUCGCUGUCUACUAUUAGAGAGGAAGAUUCUGACGUGGACCUCUAAUUUAAUAGAGAGAGGAUCACAAUGGACCUAAAAGCGUAUAGAAAAUUUAAACAAUUGUCGACGUUUAUUGACUCGGAGUUUGAUCGUCGAUCUCAGGAGAGGAGAAUAGGGGCCGAGCGAUACCUGCAAAACUUAUGUGACACACAAGUUAGGAAUGGUUAGAAUAGAUGGAAUGAGAUGUAUCCCUGUAUUUGUAAUUAGAACCCUCUUUGGAAAGCCCCUUGUUGCAGCAGCCUUUAACUAUGGUUUGAGUGUUUGGCUUCUGUUCCUGUUGUCGAAACUCUAACUCUAUGUAACAGCAUCAUUUGUGCAAAAGAGAGAGAUUUUACAAAAUUGGAGGUAGAAGGUGAGUCCCAUCUUGUGAUAGAUGUCAUGAAUGCGUAUUAGCACCCCCAAAAACUUCUUAAACUAAUCCAAGACAUCAAGGCUUUGAGAAGUUCUUUUGAGUUUAUUAACUUUCAACGUGUUUUUAGAAAGGCUAAUUUUGUGGCAUAUGUUGUUGCAAAUCUUGGUCACAGGCUAGGCAAUAUGUGCUUCCUGGGAUGAUAGUGUUCCUCCGGAAGCGACACGACUUAGAGUGCACUAGAGGCACCACUAUGACUCUAUCUAGGGUGCGUUUACUCACCAGGAAAUAGAAUGAAUCCUUAAAAUUUCAUUUCUCCUCUAAAAAUGUGUUUGCUAACACCAAGGAGGAAUCAUAAUAUGCGGGUCCCACAAUAAAAAUCAUGAAUAAAUCCCCAUUUUCAUUCCUUGGUGGGAGGUUGUUAUUCAUUCUCAUUCAUGGGUGAAUCAACUCAUUUCUAAAACUAACCUCGUAAUUUUAUGAAAACCCCAAACUACCAAGUACAAAAACCAUAUGACAUUUGUAUUAGAAAUGUAUUUUCGUAAUCAACUUCAUUUCUAUUUUGAUUUCUUAUUUCUUAUUCCUUCAACAAGUAAGCAUACAACAUGAAUGCCUUUUUCUCACUCCCAUCUCUCAUUUCUCCCAUUCCUUCACUCUCCGAUUCUCUCUCAAUCUCAUUCAAGUUUAGUAAACGACCCUCUAAUUCUUUUUUUUUCCCAUCAAAAAUUAAAAAAUAAAAAAUCUAUCCCGACCACAAUUCCACAAAGAAGAAAUUGCCUCACGAAUUAUACAAGGUAAGAAACCGAGCAAAGUCUUCCUUCUUCAUCUCUACGAUAAUUAUUUAAUGUUUUAGUUACACAACCGAGCACAUUAUCAAAUAAUGUAAAGAGAAUUCCAAACUAGUUACUUACAUAAAAAUCGUAAUCCACGUAUAUUGAUACGAAGACAUGCAACUCGACUCUUCCUCUAUAUGAACAGCCAGCUACGUUCAUCCUGCAAGCAGCAAAAACAGCACGCCUUGGUCCCCAAAUUUUAAAUCCGGCGAUGACCUAAUUAAGUUUAGUCUUGCAGCAACUCAUAACUAACAUUGGUCAUAGCU
rnacentral:lncRNA from 1 species